GAGCCCAAGAAUCUUUCGGGAAGGAAGGAUGAAGGAUCCUCCCAAUAACCUGGAUCUCUUGCAAUAGCCCACAUAUUGACAAGGACAUGACUGUUACUGGGUAUGGUGAAACCGCAUAAUUCCACAUCAUUCUUUGCUUUAAAAGGUAACAGAAGGGGCCCAGCCGGAUGGAGUCUAAGCGUCUCUUUCACAACAGCUUGAAAAUAUGGAAGUCGGUCCAUAUCUGAUUCUCUAACCAUUUGACCUGCCCCGAUUACUUCGCUAAGUUCUUGCCGAACCUUUUGCAUCAGCCGAGGAUUUCGAAGAAGUUCAGUCAUUGCCCAUUCAGUUGUUAUGGUAGAUGUAUCACUCCCAGCAUAAAAUAGUUCCUGCCAAAAAGUGAGAGUUCAGCACCUUGCAAUUGUUAAAAUGCAUAUAUGCAUGCAUGCAUAGAAGAAUUAUUAAGUAACACUACUGUCUACUCAUGCAGCAAUCAGUCAAGGCCUUCUUCCUCUUCGUGAUCUCCCUCACUACUUUGCCAGCAUAUAAAUGGUGUUAAUUUUAUCUUUUCUAGCUAGCCCUUUCCCUAAGAUGAAUCUUUUACUUGUUGACCUGAUCCUACAAUAAAUUUCGACUGGUACUAAGCGCCAACUCGCUGAGUUUACAAAAAAUGACAUUAGAUUGAAUUUAAUUAAAAUUAGAGAGGUGAAUUAAUUAACGGGUCUUACCACAAUCAAAACCUGGAUAUUAUCAGAAUUGAAAACAGAGCCAUCUUCUUGGCACUGAUCAAGAAUCACAUCCAAGAAGUCGUCAUUCCUGCUCAUCGGAUUGGAGGCUCUACACUUGAUACGGCUUUUGAUUAUACCACCAACUAUUUCAUAAAGCCGUUUAUAACAUGAGAAAGUGUCGCGCUUCACACCUAGCAAAUCGAACCUUCGAAACAUGGGAAAAUAAUCUGAAAUAUUAAACUUGCCAGCACCCUCCAUGAUUCCCCACACCUGAUCCCUGAAAUCCUGAGCCGACUCAAAUCCUGGAUCAACAAGGUCAACAGAGAAAAUGGCGUUUGAAAGCACGUUCAAGUUGAUGGCAGAGGUGAGUAGGCCGAUAUCCACCGGUGUACCGGAAACACAGUGCUUACGGAUAUGUUGGAGAAGUUGUUCCACCUUUUUGUAUCGAAGGUGUUGGAGUGAGUCCAGGCUCUGGGAUGUGAACAAGUGGUUGAUGCAAACACGGCGGCGGCUGCGCCAUACAUGGUCCGCAGGAAUCCAUCCGAUUGUGCCUUGAGGACUGUCGAGGGCCUCGGGAGCAGGACGGUCCAGGAAGUUCUGGCCAUGUGUUUGGAGAAUUAGUUUGGCUGUCUGGGGAGAGGAGGCGACGACGGUGGUGAUGGAGCCAAGGCGGAGAGUGAUGAGAGGGCCGUGGAUUUUGGCCAAUCUUGCAAGUGAGCGAUGAGGAAGUUUGCCAAUUUCCAGUAGGGAGCCCAAAAUAGGGAGGCCAGUUGGGCCAGGCGGUAGCUUGGUAGCGUGGGAUGAUGGGCGCAGAAAUUGGAGGAGGAAAAAGCACAGGAUGAGUGGCAUGCAAAGCAAGAGGAAGGUGUUAAGUUCCAUCUUCUAUGGCCUAUGUCCUCUGGCCAAUGGCCAAUUGGUGUAUAUAUAAGCUACCCAAAGGAGAGAUGUAUCAAAUUCCAAUAUAUAUAUAUAUAUAUAUUUAAUAAAAUAAAUAUUAUAUAGAAUAUUUUCUGUACGUGAUUGUAAAGAAAUUCCUUAUAAUAUAGUAAAAAUAAUUAAUAAAAAUAUCUUUAUAAAUAUUUUUUAACUGAAAGAAAAAAAUUAUGAAAAAUAAGAGAGUUCACUAAAGAGUAGAUGUAAGGAAUUGUGAGAAUUAAAAUGCAUAUUAUAAUAAAAAGAGCUCACACUUAAGAUGAAGAUAUAAAAAGACCUAAUAACUACAUCUAUUUUUUUAUAUUUUAUAAUAUUUUUAUCACAUAAUUAUAAAUAAAUAAAUAAAAAGAAUCGAUGGAAAUAGGUUAGUAUCAUUAGUCAGUUACGUGAGUUAUUUUAUUUUUAUGUUAUUCCUUUAACAUGUUGAUGGCACUACAAUUAUAACUUAUAAGCUAUAACAACGGUCACCAGCUAGCUUCCUCUGCUCCCAUCUGCAUUGUAUUCACAUGGCUCUGACACUGGGUGGUGUGUUGGAAUUUUCUUACCACUUGGAAAUGCAAGUGGCGGACCAAUCUCUACAAAGUCUACUCUCUUUUAUAUAUUGCAUGAUCAUGAUAUCUCCGCUUCGUAUUUGUAUGCACAUGUUUAGUAACUACACCCAUGUGCCUCACGGAAUUAAUGAUAGAGGGAGUAGGGAUGAUAAUGACAUGGAUUUUUUUGAGCACUCAUCUUCUCCAUACCUAAUGGAAUAAGUUUUAAUUUUAAUUAAGCGGUUUCAAAAUUCUUUUAAAACCUAGGAUAAAUUCGAAUAUUGUCAUGUCCAGUUCAUCCCAUCUCGAUUAUAUAUAAAUUUAAUUUUUAAAAUAAAUUUAAUUUAUUUUUUAUUCUAUUAUUUUUAAUAUAUGAAUAAUAAAAUAAUAUUUUUAAUAAAUUAAGUUAUAAAAAUAUAAUAAUUUAAUUAUUUAUAAAAAUAAUUUAUUUUAAUAUAAUUAAAAUUUUAAAAAAUUAAACAUAAAAAUAAAAAAAGUUAAAAUGGGAUAAGACGAAGGGGAGAAAUUCUCGUGUCAUCACCGUCUCAUCCUAAUUUAUUUAAUUUUUUAAAUAAGAUAAAAAUAAAAAUUAUUUUAAAUAAACGACGGGGUUGGGAUGGGACACCCGGGCCAAGGCCGCCCCGUUGCUUAUCCCUACUAGGGAGCAAGAAAUUAAUGCUAGUCAACUGCCCGUGUACAUAUCGCCGCCCCACCAAUUAGGUUUACGGGGACUAUCCCUUUCUCUGCUCGAAUUGCGCGCGGUGCAGGCUUUCUAGUCAGCACUAAGAUUGUUUCAAAUCCAAUAAAUUUAGAUUAUCUGUGGUGAUUGUAUAGCAUUUUAUUUUAAUUGUGAUCAUUUUUCUUCUCUAAUACAAAAAAAAUUAAUGUCAAUUCAUAGCAUGUCACGUACCGACAAGGUCGCAAUCAACUUAUCUAAACCUCCACAUUUUAAAUAUAAUAGGAUUGAAUUUCAUACUUAUAAAAAUUUUAUAAAGGAAAUUUGUGUUUUGAUGAGUUCGUUUUGUAAAUAUAUAUUUUUCAAAAUUUAAUUUUAUGAAAUCUAAAAAUCAGUUUUUAAUGUGAAAAUUAUAUUUUUUUUAUGCCCAUUAAAUCGAUUGUAUUUUUUGUAUCGAAAUUGCCCUUUUUUCUUUCCUCCUGUGCCUCACCCUCCCUCUCUAGUGAAAUCGAUCGGUCGACAUCAUCACUAGCCAUGCAAUCUCCAUCUCUCCUUUUUUCUUCCCUUUCGACAUCACCAAAAGAGAAGAAUAUGAAUUUUAGAAAACCCAUGAUAGGAGUUAUUGAGUUUUCUUUUUUUCUUUUAUCGCCUAAACUAUCCAUGUAUUUCUAAUGUCAAUUCAUAGCAUGUCACAUACCGACAAGGUGGCAAUCAACUUAUUUGAACCUCCCCAUUUUAAAUAUAAUAGGGUUGGAUUUCAUACUUAUAAAAUAAAAGAUAAGAGAGAGUAUGAGAUCAGAUCUUGAUUUUAGCAAGUUGUGAACAGUUCUGAAUGAAAAAUAUUAUAUUCUACGCAAUGUUAGAAGGCACAUGCUUUGACUGUCAACACAUUAAAACAAACUGGCCAUAAUGCUUUUAAUGGAAAUUCAUAUAAAAUUGGAAGCGUGAAGAAGGCUUCCUGGCUGCCUGGGGUCCAUCUGAAAUUCACUGACCCAAAUCCCAUAGUUCCCAUUCUCCAUAAUAGAAGCCAUUGCCAAUUUGUUUCCUCUUGUUUCUUUGAAUUUUGGCCCAAACUAGCCUUUCGUGUAUGCAUUGAGUUGUUUUUUAUAUAUACAAACUAGUGUCCCUUUGGAUUCAUAUCAAUAAGAGAAUUUUUUUAUUUUUUUAUUUUUUUAAUUUACUCUAUUUUUCCCACCUUUCCCCCUUAUCUCUGUCUCAUUUCCUUUUUCAAUUAAAAAAUUAAGUUUCAAUUAUUAAUAUUUCAAUUCAAAAAUAAAAUUUUGAUUGGCAAUUAAGACUUUAAUUAAAAAGUAAAACUGUAAUUUUAGUUAAAAAUUAUAGUCUUAUUUCACAAUUGAGGUUUUAAUUUAAAUUUUUAAAAAAUAUAUGUAUAUAUAUUUUAUGACAUGACUUAUAUGUGACAAUAAAAAGAUUAGUUUGAAUAUAAGUUUUACAAAAAAUUUAAAUCUUAUUUUUUUUUUCUAUAAAAUAGUUAUUUUGCCCUCAAAACACUUUUCUUUAUCCUUUUAUGUAUUUGAUGUAUGCAAAUGUAAAAUAUAUUUUGGAAACCUUUGUCUGUAUAAGGAAUUGACUUAAAUAUAGAGCAAUUCUGAGUCAUUCAAAACCUAUAAAAAAGACUUUGAAUUCUUACUUUUAAGUCUUUUUUUAAGCCCUUAUUAUUCUAUAAUAAAAUCCACGGUACCAUUAAUUUGUUGCUAUUAUUUUUUGGGAGAAUUAUGUUUUGGGGGUAGAUGGGCCCCCAAAUUAACAAAAGGCUCAUGUAACUCUUCAAAUUGAGCCCAAGACCCAAUGAAAGUAUGGAAAUUGAGUUGAAGGAUAUCAUCCUUCAGUAUUUUCAAAAAUACCCUUUGUUGAUUUUGAGAAAAAAAAUUAAUAUUUUUGAAAAAUAAUUUUAUUUAAUUUAAUAUUUUUUAUUUAAUUUAAUAUUUUUUUAAAUGUUUUUAUGUAAUUUAAUAUUUUUUAAAAUACUUUAAUUUAAUUUAAUAUUUUUUUAAAAAAAUUAUUUAAUUUAAUAUUUUUGAAAACUACUUUUAUUUAAUUUAGUAUUUUUGAAAAAAAAUUAUUGAAAAAAAAUUAUUUAACUUAAUUUUAUAAAAUAUUUUAUAUGUGUUCUUAAAGGGUAUAUUUGUCCGUUACUAUUUCAUAUCCUUCAACUUAAUUUGAAGAGUUAUAUGGACCUUUUGUUAAUUUGGGAGCUCAUCUACCCCCAAAAGAUAAUUCUCCCUUAUUUUUUUAUCCUUAUUCAAUGUAUACAAAAAGUAAAAUAUUUUUUCGAAACACUUUUAUUUGCACAACACGCUAACUUAAAUAAUAGUAAAUUGAAGGUAAAUAUUUUACGUGUGAUGUGGAGGGAAAAAAAGAACAGAGCCAAUAAAUUAAUAUAAAUAGAGAGGCGUAUAUAUUAUUAGGAACAAGAAGAAAGUUGAAUGAUUCAAAACCCAAAUAGGAGUUUGAAUUCUUUCACUUUUAUAUGUUUUGUUACUUUUAAAACCCCAAUUAUUCUACAAUUUUUCUUUUGUUCUUGCUCUCGUCCCCCUUGUCCCGAUUAUUUCUACAAUCCUGACUAAUUCAAAAUCUAAAUAUUUUCCUUUCCCCUUUCUCUCCAUCUUGUUUCACUUUUUAAUUAAAAAUGAAGUCUCAAUUAAAAAUUUAAACUUCAGUUAAAAAAUGAAACUUCAAUUGCCAAUUAUGGAUUCAGUUAAAAAAUGAAGUUUUAAUUGACAAUUAAAGUUUUAGUUCAAAAAUAAAAUCUCAUUUGAUAAUUGAAGCUUUUAGUUAAAUUUUGGAAAAAAAAAAUGACAUGACUCUUAUGUGACAAUAAAGUAAUUAGUUUGAACAUAAGUUUCCCAAAAAUGGGAUAAACCUUAUAUAUAUAUAUAUAUAUAUAUAUAUUUUUUUUUUUUAUAGAAGGAUUAUUUUGUCCUAAAACUUUGUUUCUCUAUCCGUAUGUAUUUGAUGUAUACAAAAAGUAAAAUAUCUUUUCGAAACACCAUUAUUUGCACAACAUGCUAACUUAAAUAAUUGUAGAUUGGAGGUAAUUAUUUAAUGUGUGACAGUGGAGGAAAAAAAUUAAUGUAUAUAUGUAGACCCCCAUUUUGGGAGUCAUUCUUGCAGCCGAUGCUUGACAAGUGUCACCAUCUCGCAUGGCCAUGUGUCACUCCCAGAUUAGUCAAUGUGGGAUCAAAAUAGUGGAAUUGAAGAAGCAAUCAGAAUAAGACACCUAUCAAGAGGAUAUUCUAAAAUCUUCAGGCCGUUGGAGAUAUUUUUCUGGAAGAGGGUCCCGUAGGCCGUCAAGAGGGGACAGAUUGGAGAAAAAAAGGUGGUUGCAGAAGAAGUGUUGCAGGAAAGGUGGCUGUAGCAGGCGUGUAGCAGAGAAGAGUGGCUUGCAAAAGAGGUUAUCUAGGGAGAAAAACGGGGGGGGGGGGGGGGGGGGGGGGGGGGGGAAAAAAAUUUUUUUUUUGGGGGGGGGGGGUUUUUUUUUUGGGGUUUAGAGGGGGUAAAAGGGGGGGAAAAAAGAAAGGAUUGGGGAAAAAAAAAAAAUCCCCAAAAAAAAAAGGGGGGAAACCCCAAACCCCGGGGGGCCCCUUUUUUUGGGGGCCCCCAACUUGUAAGGGGGAGGUUUUUUUUUUUUUAAAAGGGGUUUUUCCUUUGGGGGGCCCAGGGGAAAAAAAAAAAAAAAAAAAAAAAAAGGGGGGGAACGGGGGGGAUUUUUUAAAAAAUUUUGUGGGGGGGGAAAACCUUUUUAAAAGGUAGAUUUUUUUUUUUUUUUUUUNNNNNNNNNNNNNNNNNNNNNNNNNNNNNNNNNNNNNNNNNNNNNNNNNNNNNNNNNNNNNNNNNNNNNNNNNNNNNNNNNNNNNNNNNNNNNNNNNNNNGGGUAUUCUUUUCUAAAUUGUCCAUGUAACGGGGGUCCAUCGAUGACUCCCAACCAAUUAAGGUUUAGGGCAUCAAGUUUUAAGGAUCUUUCAACCACUAACUCCUCGGAUUUUACCCCUGACUUUUGAGAAUGAAUUUUAAUAUCCAAGCACCUACAGUAUGUUAAACUCCACCUAUUCACCCUUAUAACGAGCAUUGAGGUCGGUGAUUCCCAACCAAUGAAGGCUUAGGGCACCAAGUUUUAAAUAUUUUCACCAUAUACCCCUCGGACCUUGCUCGGGUUUCAAGGCAAGUAAACAUUUUUUUUUUUCAAAGGCUCAUUGGCCUUUUAUAAGGUGUCCCAACACUAUUAAAUGAGGUCAAAGGUACCAAGUCUAAAAUUUUCCUAAGUCAAGAGGGAAAUAGUUUUUCAUCUUAUAAUCGGAACCUAUUGUGCACAGUGUGUGAAUAGCUUAAAGUGGAAGAACUGAGGUUGAAUUCAAUAGAAGUUUCAACAAUUCAUCAACUUUAGUAAGCAUAAUACAAACUCUAAGUCAAGUAAAAAGACAAAAAUUCAAUUUCUCUCUUUUUAUUUUGAAAAUUUUUCCUUAAUAACCAUGGAGAGUAGAAUAAAAACUUUAAAGUUUUUUAAAAAUUAAGCAAAAACAACUAAAUUACCAAAAUAACUUAGCAUUAAUAACAAAACUUACUUCCUCAACUCUCCCCUCCAACCAAGCUGAACAUUGUCCUCAAUGUGACAAAAGAGAUUAAAAAAUAGGGAGGAAGUGGUACCUCUUGAGUGACAUGGAGUCUGAGUCAUGUAGGAGAAACCACAUGUUUCAAAGAAAACAUAAGAGUUAGUGAGUAGAGGAAAUAGAAAAAUGUCAAGUUUAAACAAAAAUGAUGUCUAUGUAUGAUGUAUCAUCAGUAAUACAUCCAUUCCCAGAAUAUAAGACAUCAAAAUAUGGAAUUAUUUAUACUAAUAUGUAAAUACAAAAGUAAAUAGAUGAUCAAGUAAUGGUAGAGUCCUGUGGAGCUGAUGCAUCUGUGGUGGCCUUCUAAGUGGGUUGGAUCAGGACUUUGGCCUCUGUUCUGGUAGUCUCCUUAGAUGGCAUAGUCUACUCAACUGGAGCUCUCAGUUGGAGCUAUGGGCUUUGAUGGUUUAAGAAGGUAAGAAAUGGAGUAAGAGGCUUCGUGUGUGUGAUCUCAGUGAGAGGGCUCUCCUUUUUAGAUGCAUGGUGCGGAUGCAACAUUUCAGCUCAUUGUUUGCACAGUCUUCAAACGGCCAUAACUCUUUCGUUUUAACUCCAAAUCGAGUACCGUUUGAAGCGAUGGACUCCUGACUUCCUAAGAUUCGAAUCGACAUAUGGUAUGUAUAAUUUGAGCUCCAGGAAGUGCUCCAAAAAUGUGCCCAACUGUAGCGAAAUUGGGUGCGGCUGCAACAUUUCCGUUCAGCUUUGCACAUUCAUCUUGAUUUUGAUCAUCCAAAAACCUAUGUUAAAUCAAAACAAAGUAAAAUUAAAGCAUUAAAAUCAAAAUUAAAGCAUUGAAAUCAAAAUUAAAACAAGUAAUAAAAUAAAACAAAAAGCUAUGGACUAGCUAGCCUUUGAAAAGACUAAGUCCAUCAAAAAAUUUGAUCUUGAUUUAGCUUGCCCAGAUCCCAUAUGAAGUUUGCAUCCUCGGUUGAGACUUGCUUUGUAUGAUUUUUCCUUACAAAGCUUGGGGGAAAAGUGGAUGCAUGUGUUUCUUCAUCAUUUCUUCUUUGAUGACUAUCAUCUAUGGUUUUUCAUCUACAUUAACAUCAUAGCCAUCUUUCUCUGUACUUUUCCCCUUUCUCUUUCCUUUGAUUUCCUCCCUUUUUUCUUUCUCUGUUUCACUCUCUUCCUUGUGCUCUAGCUUGCAUGUGGGCAGAUCAACCUCUUUAUCACUCUCCUUAGCCUCCAUUUCAUGGAUACCCUUUUGAUUUUGAUGAGGUUGAGAAUGAGAGUUUUCUUUCUCUUGCAUUGUGUUGAGGUUGGCAAACCUUGAGAUUGAAUCUUGGAGAUUAUCUAUCUUCUGAGAUAGAUCAUUUUGCACUUCAUCCAUCUUUUUGUUCAAUGAACUCUCUACACUGUCAAUUCUUUGACUGAGUUGAGUAUUGAUGGAUUUUUGAGCUCCAACAAAGUCUCCCAUGACCUUGUUAAGAUUCACCAUAGCUUAUUCAAGGUUUGAGGCUUGCUGUGGUGCUUGAGCAGGUUGCUGAUACUAAGGUGGCUGUGGUUUCCAAGAGAAAUUUGGAUGGUUCCUCCAAUUGGAAUUGUAGGUGUUAUUCUUCCCAUAUUUUGAGCAUUUGGUUCAUCCCAUCCUCUUGAAAUUUCAGCCACAUAACUCAUGAAGUUCAUGGCUUCCUCUGCUAUCUCGUAUUCAAUAUAGCAUGCACAAAUAGCAAUUUGUGAAUUAAAAACAGAGAAAACAAAAGAAAAUAAAAGAAAAUAAAAUUCUAAAGAAAAUUAUUAAGAUUAACUAAAAACUAAAUAAUAGCUAUACUAAAAUAUGAACAAAGGAAAAAAAAAAUAAAAUAAAAAGAGUUAGUAAAAGGAAAAGAAAAGUCACCAAACUUGUGAUGAAGAUCACAAGUACUCUGAAAAUGUCAUAUCACUGUAAAGUGGCACCAUCCCCGGCAACGACACCAUUUGAUUCGUGCCCAAUUGGUGUAUCAUCUGAUUCAUGUCCAGCUGGUGUCCCUUGAUUUUGGUCCUUAGGAAGUAAUCAACAAAAUUUAUAACCUAUUACACCAUGUACUAGGGUAGCAAAGACAAAGCUACUAUAGCAUAGUGACUCUAGGAUCGUUCACUGGGAUGAGUUUUCACUUCACAAUUGAUAUUAAUUCAAAGCUGAAUUGGUGCCUUUUCAUUUCAAGGUUAGCUUUAAAAGAAAACAUAAUCUUUGGUGAAAAAGGUUUGGUUUUAAACUAACCAAAAAUAGUAACUGAUUUUACUUACAAAGAAAAGUGUUUCUUGGAGUUUAGAUCACUAGGCUCAGGUUCCUUAUACAAAAAGGAAGUUUCGGUCACUUGUUUCUUUUCCUCGCAUUGGGGAUUUAACAUAUAGUUAUUUCCCGAAUCGGUGUGGUACAGAUGCUUCCCUUUAAUGGGUUCAAACACUAAAUCCCUCUCACCUAGCACUUGCCAUUCAAGGUGAUCUUUAACCUUGGAUUACCCAUCAAAAGCUCGUAAGAGAUAACUAAUGGAUGUCUCCGUAGAGUCCAAAAGCUUACCAAGUGUUGGCUAUUCUAGAAAAUCUUACCUUCAAACCACCUCUCAAAGGUUUGCAAGAGAUAAACUAGUGCAUCUCUAUGGAUGGAGAUCACUUGCCUUACCAAGUGUUGGCCCAGGUGAUUUAAAGGCGUUUUAAGUUAACUAAAAAGAUAAAAACCAUUAAUGGGUUACACUUUCUCUUCAUUAAAAACUAAAACAACAAAACUUCCAAUUUAUGCAUUUGGAAACUUACCCGGCUUUCUUUACUCCAAGAAACGAAGAGCCUAGCCUCUCAUCCUCUGAGGAAAAAUCCUCAGAGUUUGAUUGGCUAGAAAGAAAAAGAAAACAAAAUAUAUAUGAAAAGCAGAGCAAGUGCUCUGUAUUUUACUUCCUUGCAAAACUGUACAAAGGAUGCGUUGUCUCUGAGAACAAGCUCCUGAGAUAUCUACAUACCUUUUUAAAGAAGAUUACAAACUAUAUAUAAGGGGUUAUUCACCAUUUUUCCAAACUUAAUAACUAAGGAAUCCUAUAAUUGGUGGGUUACAAGGAGAGUUUGGGGAUUUAGACGUCAAAUAUCUAAAGCAAAAUAUCUCAAAAUGUCGGUCGCAAAUAUCGGGAAGCUUCAGGAGAACACCGCAAAAAUAUCUCAAAAUGUCAGUCGCAAAUAUCUGGAAGCUUCAGGAGAACACCGCGGCACUGUGCAAAAUAUAUGCGAAACUCUCCGGGUAAGCGCUCAGAGGAUCCAGAUAUGUCUGACCGGGGAAGUUGAAACACCCUCCUCUCCCAUCUGGCGUCAGGCGCUGGAUGCAAAAUAUCUGGAGAAGGUGUGUGCCGGAUGUGAGACAUCCGGGUGGAAUGGCGGCGGAGCAGCUCCAUCCGGAUUCUCUAAGAGGAUAUGUGGUGCGCUCCCCUAUCCGGACUCCCUCAUGGAGAAGUACACGGCACUCGCGGUCAUCACACCCGGACGAUAGCAUAUCAUAUCCGGAUAUAUUGUCCGGAUGAAAAAGACAGCCUGCCACAGCUCACGCGACACUCCGAUGGUGUGUCCAGACGCCCUGUGCCUUGCCAUGGAUUCCAAAGAACUCUCCUCAAUCUUGGAUUGCUUUGGUGAUCAAAAAGCUAUCAAACCACCAAAACUUAACACAAUUUGAUUAGAAUUGAUUGCAAGGGUCCUUAAUAUGUUAAUUGGGUUAAAAGAUGGUAACUACUAUUCAAAAGUGUUUAAAAGAGUUAAUUACAAGAUAUGAAAUAACACUUUUUGAGUAGUAAUCACUAAGACCAUCUUCACCCAGAAAGUUCAGGUCUGGCCAUCUUCUAAAAUCCCAUUUCCAUUACGUUAUUCUUUUUUUUUUUUUUUCUGAGAUUGCACUUGACUUCCUAGCAUGAACAGUCGAAGAGGAAAGGCAUGGAGGGACCUCAGGAUGGUCCUAACCUCUAAGACGCCAUGAGGGUGUUUCAGCGCACCCAUUCCUUCCCCUUGCUUGGUUAGUUGAUACUUAGUUUGGCUCUAUCCUCUUUUAAACCCCAUGCAUGGCCACCCCCUGUAACCCCUCAAGCUCCUCUCCUUUUGUAAUGGACGGAGGUUCACCUGGUGCCGCCUACGUGUCUUCUCCGCCGCCGUUGAAGCCAAAGGUUGCAUCUUCGCUCUUCCGCGUCCUCCCAGACCACCCCCGCGAUCGUCACCCUGUCCAUCAAGUCACCCACCGUCCUCCUCAUCCAAGCCCAGCUAGGCCUCGCCGGACCUGUUCGCGGUGCCGUCGGCCCUGCAUCAGGCAUGACACAGCCCCGGAUCUCGUGCCCAUCGACGCCCCAAUCACCUGCACCGCCCAGCGCCACGUCCGACCAUGCUGAGAAUUCAACCAUUAACGCCACCCUCUCAUCACGAUGAGAGAGAGCCACGAUCCUCGCCGCUCCGUCGUUCCCGCCUUCUUCAUCGGCAACGCUCGCGUCAGGGACCUGGCGAGCUCUACAACCUCCCACCUCGACGACCGCCUCGCUUUUCGUCCUGCCGACAGCAAGAAGCUCCGUUCGAGGGUGAUGCCCAAGCGAGAGGGGGGGGGGGGGGGAGUGAGUUUGUGUUGGUGAUGGGCUUGGGCUUGGGCUUGCCCAUGAUGGGCAUUGGGCUUGAGAAGAAGCUCAUCCCAGGCAUAUUGAUGGAGGGCAAUGUUCUCUUAAAUAAAUGGGCUGUGUUGGUGAUGGGCUCGGGCUUGCCCAUGGUGAUGGGUUUGGGCUUGAAUUGGAGCCCAGUCCAAACAUUGUUGAUGGAGGGCCUCAUGCUCCCCAUGCCAGCCAUCCUCAUGGCCCAAGUCCAUGUUAGGUUAGCCCAUUUGGCUGCCUCAAUUCUAAAAAAAAAAAUCUCUAAACCCCUAAUCUUCAUAAUCCAUUAAUUUAUUAUUUAAUUUUUAUUUACAUCUUAUUAUAUUUUUAUCUACCUUCUUUAAAUCGACUUAAGCAUAACUGAAGGAUAAAUUAUUAGGAUUGAGUACCGUUUUUGAAACACAAAAUAAUUUAUAUUUCACCCUCUCUUCUUUAAUUAUGUCUAAUCACCAUAUAUGAAAACUUUUGUAUAAAUUAACUUAUGUUGGUCUCAAUGAAUUUACUACAUUCUAAACUUUAAAUCCCAUUUUCAAAACUUAGAUCUUUAAGUAAUUUCUCAAAAAUCCCAUGUCUUAAUUUAAUUUUUCAAUAAUUCGUUUAAAUCUUAUUUUCAUCAAAUAGAAUCAUUAUCCCAUAUUUAUCUAGUUAUUUAAAGCCUAAUCCUCCAAAAAUCCCAUGUCUUAAUUUAAUUUUUGAAUAAUUCGUUUAAAUCUUAUUUUUAUUAAAUAGAAUCAUUAUCCCAUAUUUAUCCAGUUAUUUAAAGUCUAAUCCUUAAAAAAUCCAAUGUUUUAAUUUAAUUUUUUAAUAAUUCGUUUAAAUCUUAUUUUCAUCAAUUAGAAUCAUUAUCCCAUAUCUGUCUAUUUAUUUAAAUCUUAUUUUCAUUAAAUAGAAUCAUUAUCCCAUAUUUAUCUAGUUAUUUAAAACCUAAUCCUUCAAAAAUCUCAUGUCUUAAUUUAAUUUUUCAAUAAUUCGUUUAAAUCUUAUUUUCAUCAAAUAGAAUCAUUAUCCCUUAUUUAUCUAGUUAUUUAAAGUCUAAUCCUUCAAAAAUCUAAUGUCUUAAUUUAAUUUUUCAAUAAUUCGUUUAAAUCUUAUUUUCAUCAAAUAGAAUCAUUAUCCCUUAUUUAUCUAGUUAUUUAAAGUCUAACCCUUCAAAAAUCUAAUGUCUUAAUUUAAUUUUUCAAUAAUUCGUUUAAAUCUUAUUUUCAUCAAAUAGAAUCAUUAUCCCAUAUUUAUCUAGUUAUUUAAAGUCUAAUCCUUCAAAAAUCCAAUGUCUUAAUUUAAUUUUUCAAUAAUUCGUUUAAAUGUUAUUUUCGUUAAUUAGAAUUCUUAUCCCAUAUCUAUUUAUUUAUUUAAGGUCCAAUUCUUCAAAAAUCUAACAUCCUAAUUUAAUUUUCAAUCUUAAAAAUUCAACUACUCAUUUUCUAUUCAUUUAAAAUAUUGUUUCUGUCAAAUAGCAUUAUUAUUCCAUAUUUAUUUAUUUAUUCUAAUCGUUAAAGUUUAAUUCUUCAUAACCUGACUUCCAAAUCUAAUUUCCAAUCUCAAAAGCUCCACUGUUCGUAUACCGCCGCUUAAUGAUUAUUCUCGUUAUUAAUGUUAUCCCAUCCAUUUACUUAUUCAGUUAUUCAUAUGCCAAAGAUCUCAUCUCUAAAUAAAUUCUUAAGUUUUCAAUCUCUAAAUUCACAUCUUCAAUCUCUAAAAUUCCAUCUUUCGUAAUUAUUUACCUAAUCUUUAUCAUUUCGCCAUCAUUGUUAUUCCCUUCAUUCGCUUACUUACUCAUCCACUUAUCCACUCAUUUAAAAUCCUGAACUCUCAAAUCAUUUUUAAAAUUCCAAUCUCGUUCAAAUUCAAUUUCUAAAAUUCUCAUUCUCACAUUCAACCUUUAAAAGUCUGAUCUUCAAAUAAACUCUAGAACUCCAAUUUUCCAGUAAUCUUCGAGAUUCCAAUUUUUCAAUUAAAUUUCAAAAAUCCAAUUUUCUCUCGAAUAGUUUUAAUUCCACUCUGGUUUUCAAACAAUCUUUUGCUCCUCUUGAUUUCAAUAAGCAUGAAUAAAUUCUUUUUUUUCAUAAUUCCAGAAUAAUGGAAUCUGUGGCAUUAAGUCAUGCAAAAUGAACGGGCUUUGGUGGGGGCCCAACAUGGGUGACUUUAUGAUUGAUUGAUUGAUUGUUUGAUUUGAUUAUCAUACCUGAUUGGUUUAUCCUACUCUCUGACAUGCAUGAGAUUAUUUCUAAAUUGUGCACUAACCCUCUCUAUUGAUAGCGCAUGGUGGCUCGUUGCCCAGGUAUGUACCCAUUUUUCCUCUAAUCAUUGUCUAUGCAUGUCCCGAUUCUCACAUGUGCACGAUUUAUCUUGGGUAUUUAUUGAUUUACUCAUCCAUUGCCAUGAUUGCUUCAAUUUUAUUAGUAGAGACCCGACUUAGGGACUUAGAAGGGUGCUACAGUUUUUUGUCGUACCUUCCCGACAAGUAAGCGGACCCUCAAACUCGAUCCGGUUUUUUUUUUUUCGUAGAUCACCUUUUCCAAAAUAAGGAGUCACACUUAAGGUUUUUCUUUCUUAUUUUGUUUACCCUUUUAAAAUAAAACAAAAAUAAGUGACGACUCCAAGUCAUUUUUCUUAAUCAAUAAAAUCAUUUUUCAAAUAAAAAUCGAGCUCGCCAUCGAGUGGGAAACGCAUGAGCCGAUAUGCGGGGUCCACAAAAUGGUGACUCCAAGUCAUUUUUCUUAAUCAAUAAAAUCAUUUUUCAAAUAAAAUUCAAGCUCGCCAUUGAGUGGGAAACGCAUGAGCCGAAAUGCAGGGUCCACAGUAAAUAAAUAAAUCGAUAUUCAAGUGAAUUUAAGAGUCAAAAAUCUUAAAUCUAGAAUGGUUUUGAUGAAUAUUUAAGAUGAAGAAUAACCCUAGGAUGAAAGUUUGGAUAUGUUAGAAAUAUCCUGUAGAUCUAUAUAUUUUCUUUUCAGAAAGAAAAAAAAAUGGUAUUAAUAUUUAUUUCAUUCCAUUAUAAAUUAGUCCAAUUUCACUCAUUCUUUUCCUUUUAAUCUAAUCCUAGGUUUUCAUGUUUCAUCCAAAUAAAACCUUUUAGCCUUUUAUGGGCAUAUUCUUAUAUAAGUAAGCUAUAAAAGAAUGGUAAAUAAUUAUUCUUAAUUUAAAAAAAUAAAUAAAUAAUAUUUUAUUGAAUAAUAUAAAAGAGAAAGAACUAAGAAAAACUUUCAAUCUCUCCUUAACAUGUUUUUAUCUUACUAGAAUCAACUUGAUUUUGCAUUUAUAUAUUCCUGUCAACUAUUCUUUUUUUUCUUUUUUUUGUAUGAUUGGAUUAAUAAAGGCAAUAAAAGUCAAAAAACCAAUCUAUGUGGAAGCACUUGAAUCUUGUCCAAAUUUAAUAUACUAUUUUUUUAUUUUUUUUACUUUUUUAUUUUUGGAUUGAACACUAAAUACCACCUACAUGCUAUUUGAACCACGUUGACGGGGCUGGUCAUUUGUAUAAGGGUCUAGAUCCAUACAUGAUUCUCAACUAUUCAAAUUGGUCAAAACAGAAGUACACUAACUCCUUGUUUAGACUUUUGCCUAGUGUCUAGAAUAAAGGCAUUGCAAGAAACUUGUCUAUAACUUAAAAUGAUAAGUAUAAUUUAAAAUGAAUGUAGGAAGUGCACCAAUUCAAAUGUUGUGUUGAAAUGAAUGCACUCUAUGAGGUUAAGCAUCUCUAUAGUAAAUUUUGGUUAUGGUAGUUCAUUUGUCAAAUAUCAUUUACUCCUAUUAUGAUGUGUUCUAAGCUUGGUCUUUAAGCUUUAGAUGCUUCAAUUGGUUUUCUUUUUGCAGGUACAAAGCUAUUAAACUAAAUAAUGGUUGAUAUUUAUAAUAAAUUAAAUUUAAUUUAAUUUAAUGCUUUUUCUAUGUUGAUUUAAAGUUAAAUGGAAUGUUUUAAAAAAAUAAUGACUUCUCCAUAUAGGCUCUGUCUGAAUUAAUGUUUUUAUUAUAAUUUUUAAUCUUUUAUGUCUUGAAAAUAGUAAAGAAAAAAAAAUGUAGCAAAGGAUUCAAAUUGUUUUGUUUGAUUUAUUGAGAAAAGUUUUUCACCCUUGAAGAAUUAAAUAUUAUUUAUUUAAAGAUUUAAAUAUUUUCAAAAUUUUCAUUGAUUAUAAAUAAAAAGAAAAAAAAACAUAAAUGAAUUUCAAAAUAACUUAAUAACUCAAUUUAAAUCAUUAGGUAAAUUAUGUUUGGUAAAAUAAUUUAAUGGUAUAACUUAAAGUUAAAAACAACUUUAAGUAAUAAGUAAAAAUAAUUAACUUAUUCUUAAGUUCACAUAUUUAUUUUACAUUUUUUUUCCCUAUUUGCCUUAAUUAUCUUCACAAUCUCUUUUUGCUAUUCUACAACCUAUAUCGUUACUCAACUUCUUUUGCCUUACUUAUAAUUUGUGAAGAUAAAUAUAUUAAUUUGAUUAUUUAGAGUAAAUUUAAAGUUAAUUUUAUCAAACAACCUUAAUACUUAAACUAAUAAUUAAGUAAUAAAUUUUAAGUCAACAAUUUAAGUAUAUUUUAACUUAAGUCAUUAAGUAAUAAGUAUUAAGUUUUACCAAACACCUCCUAAUUAAAUGAUGAAUGACUGAAGAUUUAAAUAAAUUUAAGGUGAAUGCUAAAUUCUAGACGACUGAUUUUUGGAGGGGAAUGUUUAAAUUAGAUCAUGCAAAGGGGAUAUUUAAAUUAUAUAGUAUGGUGUGCAUAGGUGGUGUUCAAUUGACCAGAGAUGUUGGUUUUUGAGGGUGUAAUAUGAGAGUUAGGCCUUGUAUAGUGGGUGGUUCGUCUAGUAGAUAUUUGAGUUGAAUAAUAGGUAUAUAUGUGAGAGGGCAAACAAAGGACUAAGGAAGAAAGCUCUACAUUUAAAAAAAUCCGACAUCCAAUUCUUCGUAAAACUUGUAAGGAAGGUUCAUCUCCGAUUAAAUGUAUUAGACAGAUUCAAGAAAGUGGUUUGUUAUCCAAAUUUGCAAUUUCAUUUUUUUUUAAAAACUUUAAUUUUUCUUCAUGAUAAAUUCUGGGAACUCCUCAAAUAUUCAUUUUGGUUUAGGUUGUAGAAACCAUGUAACUUCUAUAUAUAUAUAUAGAGAGAGAGAGUAUAAGAUAUAUAUGUUUAAUUGUAAAAACUUUGCCGCACUCAUUUACAUUCAUGAUUGUGUGGAACUGAAAAAAUAAUGAAUCAUGUAAUGUAAUUAAAAAUAAAAGGACCUUGAAGGAAGUAAAUUUGUGAAAUGAAAAACAAGUGAAAACGAAAUGAAAAAACAAAAACCGUUAAAAAGAAAUGAGAAACAAAAGUACUCUAGAGAGGCAGAAUUCAGAGUGGAAAGAUCCUUAGGUGGUGUUUGUUUUUUUAGCUUUUUACUGAAAGCAAUUUGUUUUCAGAAUUUAAGUUAUUUGUUUUUCUAUUUUUUUCAUGACUUAUUAUAAACUUUUUACUAAAUAGAAAAAACCAAAAUAUAUAGCUUUUUCUAAAUAGAAAAAAUAACAUAUUGAUUUUUUUUUUAAUACUUAAUAGAAAUAAAAUACUACAAAAACAAACAACCUAAUAUUUAACACUAUAAGAAUUAAGGUUCUAUUUAGAAUUAAGUAAAAAAAACAAACACCACCUUAGUAUCUAUUAGAGAGAAUAGAAUUGGGAGAAAAAUUUGUUGAUCUCACUCACAAAUGCAAAAUGUGUAUUGUUGGUUUUAUAGGGGUUGGAGAUAAGAAUCGAUUACAAAAAUGUAACAAACUCCAACUCACCAUUGUAAGAAAAGACAAUAAACAGAGAAGAUUGAAAAAAAGGUUAAUUUAAGACUUAAUACUCCCCAUUAAGAUGGAAAAUGGAUAUUAAGAAUUCUCAUAUUGCCUAAGAGAAACUCAAACUGAGCUGGAAAAAUUGCCUUCAUUAAAAGAUAUGCAAGCUAGUGAUGAGAGGAAAAAUGUAAAGUCUUUAAGUUGCCCUUUUGAAUUUGCUCUCUCACUAUGUGGCAAUCUAUUUCUAUAUAUUUGGUGUGUUCAUGAAAUAUAGGGUUGGCAGCUAUAUGCAAUGGAGCUUAGUUAUCAUAGAAAAGAACUGUAGGGUAAAGGCAAAGGUCCUUAAGUAGAGAAAACAACCAUAUCAAUUCACAAGUCAUGUUUUCCAUGGAGCGAUACUCUGCUUCAGCAAAUGACUUAGGGACAAUACGUUGCUUCUUUGACUUUCACCAAACUAGCAAGCCUCUAAUAAAAAUGCAAAAUCCAAUGAUAGAUCUUCUAGUGCUUAGACAAGUUUCCUAAUUAGCAUCUACGAAGGCCUUUAGUUCCAUGGAUGAGGAUGAAAAGAAGAAGAGUCUUUGCUCAAUAGUCCUUUUAACAUACUCCAAGAUUCAAUGAGUAGCUUGCAAAUGAGGAAUGGGAGGUUUGACAAGGAAUUGACUCAAACGAUUCACUAAGUAAGAUAGAUCAGGUUGUGCUAUAAUGAGAAAUAGGAGUUUUCCAAUCAUUCUCCUAUAAACUAGAGGAACUUCAAGCAAGUCUCCUACAUCUUAUGACAACUUCAUGUUUGGAUCCAUAAGUGUCAUGCUGGUCUUACAGCUGACAUAUUCUACAUCAUAAAGUAGCUGCAAAGCAUUAUGGCACUGACUAAGUGAGAUCACUUUGGAUGAUCUAGAAACUUUAGGUCCCAAGAAAAACUUCAAAUCUCCCAAAUCCUUGUGUUUAAGUAAUCAUCAAGAAACUUCUUUACGUUGUCAAUAAAAUCUUAAUCAUUUCUUGUUACAACUAUGUCAUCAAUGUAGAUUCGUAGAGCAAUGAAGCUAUUAUCAUUUACUUGAAUGAAAAAAAAAGCCAUUUGAGGAAGACUUCUUGAAUCUUAUCUCAAGAAGAACAUUAGAAAAUUUAGAAAACUAUUGCUGAGAAGCUUGUUUAAGCCCAUACAAGGACUUAUGUAACUUGCAAAUGGUAUCAUUAGGUAAAGGCUCCCAUUCAUGAUAGAAACCAAGAGAUAAAAACAUGUAAACCUCCUCAUGGAGAUCACCAUGCAAAAAAAACAUUAUUGAUGUCAAGUUGUGUAAGAGACCAACCAUGAAUGGCAACUAAAGCAAAGCGAACUUUGAUAGUAGCCUUUUUAGCAAUAGGGGAAAAAGUGUCUAAGUAGUCAAUACCUUCUUGUUAAGUAUACCCCUUAGCAACUAAACAAACCUCAUACUUUUCAAGAAACUAUUAGCUCGAUACUUAGUUUUGUACACCUACUUACAACCUAUAGAAUGUUUACCAAGAGAAAGAUUAACUAACGACCAAGUAUCAUUACUCUUAAGAGCUUGCAGCUCCAAAGCCAUAGCUUCUCACUAGUCUGGAAAAACAGCAGCUUGGGAAUAUGUUGUAGGUUUAAAGGAGGAAGAAAGAGCAUUGACAAAAAGCUUAUGAGAGGGUGACAACCGAUGAUAGCUAAGAAUGUGAGACAAAGGGUGACAAGUUGACAAAUGAGGCUUAAUGGUGAUGGAAGAAUAGUGAUAAUCCUGUAGGUGAGAUGAGGGUCGUCAAACUCAGGUUAAGGUAGGAAGGACAAUGGAAAUAGGUGUAGCAUAAGUUGGAGAUGGAAUUAAGGAAUCGUGUGUGGUAGGAGAAACUGGAAGUGGAAGGACUCUAUCUGAAAAUAUGUCUAAUGAAGCAUAAGGAGUAGUGAUAGUUUUAAAGGGGGAAAUUUUUUCAUGGAAGACCACAUCCCUAGAGAUAAAGGUCACAUUAGUAGAAAGAUCAAGGACUUUGUACCCUUUAUAACUUGGUACAUAUCUGAGAAAGGCACAAGAGGUUUCUCUAUGAGAAAAUUUAGUACAGUGACAAGUGAGAGUGGAUGCAUAACAUUGACAACCAAAAGCCUUUAGAUGAGUGUAAAGUGGUUUUUUUUUUCAAAAGUAAUUCAGAAGGUGCGUUUAGAUAGGAGAGAAGAUGAAGUCCUAUUAAUUAAGUACAUUGCAGUGGCUACACAAUCAUUCCAAUAAGGUAGUAGGAUAUUAGAUUGAAACAUUAAAUCUCUAACAACAUUUAGGAUACGUUGAUGUUUCCUUUCAAUGACUGAGUUUUGUUGUGGAGUGUCAACAUAGGAAUGGAAAGAAAUAACACUUUCUUAUGAAAGUAAUUAGAAAAGGCCAAUUUAGGUGCAUUGUCAAAUUGGAUAGACUUGACUUUCUUACCAAAUUAUGUGAGAAUUAAUAAGAACAAAUUAGGCAGAAUUGUAAUGACAUUAGACUUAGAUAUGCUUGGAACCUUGUAUUUCUCCAUUCCCUUAUCCUGGAUCAAAUAGGUGCAUGCAAAAAUACCCUAGACCUCUAGAUCUUAUGCAACGGAAUCAAAAAACUUAUAUUUACAAAUCUAGGAUCAAGAUGAAGGCCAUUAAAGAAAUUUACCUUUGAUUUGGAUCACUACAAGAAAAUUAACUUUCAGUGAUAAAAUAUUUUAUCACUGAAAGUCUAUAUUUUGUCUGCAAAAAUAUUUCCCAACGAAAAAUGUUUCGUGUCACAUUCGUUGCCUUAGACUCAUCGCUAAAAGUAUCCCGACAAAAAUCCUAUUUCGUCGCCCAAUAUUUUCCCUGAUGAAAUAAAAAUUUUCUUACUAAAUAUUUUCCCUAACGAAAUUUUUCAUUGACAAAAGUAAGAAUUUUUGCCACUAAAAAAUAUAAAUUUUUGUCCUCAAAGUCGUCAAUACUUAGUGCUGACGAAUUUAUUUUGCUGCCAAAUAUUUUUUGUAACAAUUUAAUUUCGUCUCCCUAUGCUUUGCAAUCCCAAUGGAAGUUCCAUUUUGUCACUAAAAGUUUUUCUUCAUGAAAUAGACAUUUCAUUGCUAAAGGAUUUUUUCAACUAAAAUAUUUAUCAUUAAUACUGACAAAUUCAUUUCAUUGCUAAAUCCUUUUAUUUACAAAAUGAUUUCGUCCCUAAAAUGUAUGCCAAUGAAUUAUAAAGUAGUUGUGGAUGAUAUAACAAUCUUCAGCAACAAAAAUAUUUCAUCAGGAAAUAUCUUUAGUAAUAAAAAAAAAAUUGUCAGGAAAUGUAUUUACAUUUUUUAUUUUUCAUAUUACAAAUGUAUGGCAUUUGGUAUUUAAAACAUUAAUUAUAAUGGAAAAGUUAAUUCUGAAACCUACUUACAAAAAUCAAAAUGUAUAUCACAUAACUUCAUUGGUAAUUAAUAUAUGUAACCAUAACAUGUGAUCAUAGUAGUAUAAUAUCUAUGCUAAUAUAACUACAUAACAAAAUAAAAUAUUAGUUUAACAAAGUGUCUAUCACAAAAUAACUAUAUUAGCAUAGGCAAAAAAAAAAAAAGGAUCAUGAGGCAAUAUUUCUUCAAAUUGUUGAUGAUGUUGAUUUUGUCUUUGUACCAAGGCCUCCAAUUACUCAAUUCGAUCUUGUUGAGUCUCAAGUUGUUGUUGUUGAGUCUCCACAAGUAGUUGAGUCUCAGCAAGUCUAUGCUCCAACUCAAUUUCACGCUCAGAAGAUGAUGGUCUAGAUUGAGAAAAUGAGAUUGGUUUAGGGUAAAACCAAGACCCUUGACAUAUCCUGAUUUUUGUCCCAAAACUUUCUCACAAAUUUUUGCCUCAGUCAUAGCCACAACUCCUUCUACAACAGGCUGGCGUUGGAGCUCCAACAUCUUCUCUUAUAUAUGCAAAAUAAAAAAUAAAACAAAAAAAAGAACCAAAACAUAAUUAAUAAGUUAGUAAAUUAAAAUUUCCAUUAAAUUUGGGCAUGAUCUCCCAUAUUUAGUAGAUAUUUUUUAAAUUAUACCUACUAUAUAUAAUAAAUAUAAGCAUUGGAAUUUCAAAUUAGUUAAUAAUCAAAUUGAUUUUUAGCAUAACAAAACAUCCAAGUGCCUUAAUUUGUUAUUAUAUGGUAAAUAAUAGUAUAUUUCAAACAAGAAUAUAGUAUUUUUAUACAAACAUUGAACAUCCCACAAACACACAUAAUCCUAAACUUAAUUUUAAGCAAGGAAAUGCCUAAAAAAUUAUCUAAACUUGUUAUCACAUAAACAAGAAUCAUAUAUACAUACUAAAAUGGUGAAAAUUCAAAAGUAGUUAGAAUCUUAACUUAAUUUUAAGUAAAGAAAAUUAUAACAAGAAGUUAGUAAGUUAAAAAUCCUAUUUAAAUUUCAGUAUAGUCCCUUAAUAUUAUAUUUCAAACAAGAAUAUGGUAUUUUUAUACAAACAUUGUAACACCCCACAAACACACAUAAUCCUAAACUUAAUUUUAAGCAAAGAAAUGCCUAAAAAGUAUCUAAACUUGUUAUCACAUAAACAAGAUUCCUAUAUACAUACUAAAAUGGUAAAAAUUGAAAAGUAGUUAGAAUCUCAACUUAAUUAUAAGUAAAGAAAAUUAUAACAAGAAGUUAAUAAGUUAAAAAUCCUAUUUAAAUUUUGGCAUAGUCCCUUAAUAUUAGAUUUCAAACAAGAAUAUGGUAUUUUUAUACAAACAUUGUAACACCCUACAAGCACACAUAAUCCUAAACUUAAUUUUAAGCAAAGAAAUGCCUAAAAAGGUAUCUAAACUUGUUAUCACAUAAACAAGAUUCUUAUAUACAUACUAAAAUGAUAAAAUUUGAAAAAUAGUUAGAAUCUCAACUUAAUUAUAAGUAAAGAAAAUUAUAACAAGAAGUUAACAAGUUAAAAAUCCUAAUUAAAUUUUGGAAUAGUCCCUUAAUAUUAGAUUUCAAAUAAGGAUAUGAUAUUUUUAUACAAAUAUUGUCACACCCCAUAAGCACAUAUAAUCCUAAACUUCAUUUUAAGCAAAGAAAUGCCUAAAAAAGUAUAUAAACUUGUUAUCACAUAAACAAGAUUCUUAUAUACAUACUAAAAUGAUAAAAAUUAAAAAGUAGUUAGAAUCUCACCUUAAUUAUAAGUAAAGAAAAUUACAACAAGAAGUUAAUAAGUUAAAAAUCCUAAUUAAAUUUUGGAAUAGUCCCUUAAUAUUAGAUUUCAAAUAAGGAUAUGAUAUUUUUUAUACAAAUAUUGUAACACCCCACAAGCACAUAUAAUCCUAAACUUCAUUUUAAGCAAAGAAAUGGCUAAAAAAUUUAUCUAAACUUGUUAUCACAUAAACAAAAUUCUUAUAUACAUAAUAAAAUGGUAAAAAUUGAAAAGUACUUAGAAUCUCAACUUAAUUUUAAGCAAAGAAAAUUAUAACAAGAAGUUAACAAGUUAAAAAUCCUAUUUAAAUUUUGGCAUAUUCUCUUAUAUUUCUUAGUUUCUUUUUUCCAAAAUUUGACCUUUUAUAUAUUCAAGUUAAUAAUAUACUAAUCCCUCUUUAAUUCGUUACUAUUUCCACAAAUUUUUACCAACCACAUAAUCAAAUAUUAAACAAUAAAGAUUUAUGAUUAGUUAAUGCCCAAACAAAAGUUUACUUAAAUGUAAUUUUGAGUAAGAAAAGUUAUAAUAAUAAGUUGGUAAGAUAAACUUUCAAUAGAAAUUUUGGCAUAGUCUCCCCUAAUUUUUAGACUUUGCCAAAUUUUCCCUGCUAGUAAUCAAUUUAACAACAUUGAACACCCAAACAAUCAAUAACCAAAUCAAAAUUUAAAGAUCUAUGAAAACUACCAAGGAAGUGCCUUGUUUAUCAUCACAUGGUAAAUUAACUAUCAUGAUGACACUUCCACAAAGAUUCAUAAUCCCAAACAUGAUUUAAACAUAGAAAGCUAUCAAAAUAAUCUUACAUAAUAAUCUCUAGCCUCUUGAUUUAUCCAUCCAUCUUGACUUUUCCAAUGAACUAGUUUGAAUAGUUCAAUUUGGCCAACCAUCUCUCCAUUCUCUGUUGACUGUCAAGUAUUAUGCAUUAAUAUUAAGAAUUAUAAGUUAUAUGAAUAACUAAAGAACCUUAGUUUUACAUUUUACCACUUGUAGACCAUGUUGGAUAAAUGAAUGAGAGCCUCCUCAAUGAUGAAAAGGCAUCUUUGAUCUAUUUGCUGAAUUGAUUGUUGAACGACGUUGUAAUAAUAGUUAUUAUUGAAAAUAAUAUAAAUAUAGUUUGUAGAAUAUUCAAUAAGAAAUAUGUUUGAAUGAUUAUUCAUUGAAAACUUUACCUGAAAUUCUUCACUUGAAAAUCUAUCACAAAGAUAGUCCCAAUCUUCCUGAUUUGACACAGAUUCAUGAGGAUUUUGCUUAGCCUCUACCACAGUUGGGAACCCUUUGAAGUGCCUGUGCAAAUCGCAUCUCCAAUAUCUAAAGCGGUCAGAUAAUUGUUUUUCUAAACUUUUCUUCACAUGCUCUUGUGUCAAAUCUAGGGCAAACUUUUCCUUUAUAGUCAAACAAGGGAAUAACUAAUAUGAGAUAAAGUAAGUUUAUAGAUAACCAACAAUUAGUUAUAAUUACAAGGUAAAAAAAAAAAAAUAUUGCAAGCAACUUUACCUUGAUUCAAUCAAGCAUUGUAUUGAUCUCAGCUCGAGGCAUUUGCUUCCAUUUUUCCACUUUAACGGGUGCAUGUUGUCUCAUUGUUAACCCAAUCUCAUUUGACAAUUUCUCACAAUAUUUUCCUGUUUGCUUCCCAUCUGAUGGCUUGAUUGUGAUCGGAAGAGGUUUGCCCCCAUUAGCUUCAAUAAGUUUGUCAAGAAUGACACCUCUAGUUUUUCCUCUUACAUUUAUUUUAUUAGGUGCUACGAUGAAAUUAUUGAUUAAACUUUAACAAUUAAUAAGAGUUAAUAAAAAGACUAAAAAAAAAUUACAUCUCAUUACAAUUUAAAAUUAAAAAAAAUAAAAUAAAAUAUCUUACAAAAUUAUAAUAAGUAAAAUAUAUAAAUGUAAGAAGUUUCUUACAACUACUAGUGCCCUCAUUAGAUGUGUGCAUUGGAACAUCGACAGAAAAAGGAGUCAUGGGUGUUGUUGUGGGUGGUUGAGUUAACUCAGAAGGUGACCACUUUCGUCCAGGAGCCAUCUAUAAUAAAAUAACAAUAAAUACAAAUAAAUAAUAAUACAAAGGAAUAUUACAACACAUAACAUAAAUUUAAAGAACUGGACCUAGAUUACAUUAUGUUAUUUAACAUAUAAUAAAGUAAAUAAAAUGUAGCUUACCAAUCUCUUUAAUCACUUUCGCUUUCACUAUCACUUGAAAGCCACAUUUCAUUCUCAUUAGCAUAAUCAUCUAGUGUUUCAUCUUCUUCCUUAAUGUCACCACAUAUGAAGUUAUCAUCAUUGUCAUUCAUGUUCUCUAAAAUCAAAACAUUAUCAUUAACAACUUCUAGAUCAAUGUUUAAGCGGUUAGAUCGUUGAAAUUCAAAUCCAUCAUCUUGCUCUACAAACCACUUAAGCUCAUGAAAUGCAUUAUCUUGGUAAGCUUCUUCAUCACUUCCCCUACACACUUCUUCAUCGAUUUCUAUAUUAGUAUCCUUUUCCGGUACAUCCCACAUGUGUCUAUGAUUCACUUUUUGUACUACUUUCCAAUUAUGACCAUUUUUGUAGUCAUCUAGGUAGAAUACUUGUUGUGCUUGUGUAGUAAGUAUAAAAGGAUCAUUGUCAUACCAAGUGGAGGUAACUUGGAUUGUGGUAAAAUUAUAGUCAUGUUUUAUUCUCUUCUUCUUUUGGUUUGUGUUGAACCAUGUGCACUUGAAAAGAAUAACCUUAUACCCUAAUACAUAGUUCAAAACAACCACAUUUGAUAAAACACCAUAGAAAUCAACCUCCUCACCAUCAUGCUCCCUAGAAACACAUAUCCCACUAUUUUGGGUGAUACGCCGAUCAUCACGAUCUUUUGUAUGGAAGCGAACUCCAUUAACAAUACAACCCAUGUAUGUGUGGACUCGAUUAUUUGGUCCACAUGCUAAUGAGUAUAGUUCAUCAAUUGCUUCUGGUGAUUGUUUAACACGCAAAGCUUUCAUCUACAAUAUAAAUAUACAUCAUUAUUUAUAGUUUAAUAUCAAAUCAUAUUAAAAUAAUAUUAGUUCAUUACAACUAUAUUGUAGCAAGCAAAUUACACAAAUAAAACUUACACGAUCUGUAAGCCACUUAUGAAACUCUUGUUCUUGUUGUUUCUCUAAGUUAUGUGAACUUGUCCUCUCCAAUUCUUUUGUAUGUUCACUACAUCAUUAAAUAGAUAUUAAGUAACAAGGUACUAAAGAAAUAUCUUUAAUGUUGAUUCUAAAACUUACUCUAAGUAUGGUCUCAACUCUGGGCAAUUAUUCAUGAUAUACCAAUGUGCCUUAGUAAACUCUUCCUUCGGAAAUUGGAGAUGUUGUCGACUGCCUAAUGGUCGAGCCUGCUGUGAAAAUAUGAAAAGACAUCCUUGUACUCGAUGUUCAAAUCAAUCUUCAUUCAUUUCACUUCGAUUAAAACAUGUUUCAAUUCUAGUAAGAUACAUUGAACAAAACAUUAAAGCUUCAUUCACGGUGUAUGCCUCUGCAAUUGAACCUUCUGGUUGAGCUUUAUUUCUCACAUAUCUUUUCAAUGUUCCUAAGUUCCUAAAUAGAAAUAGUGUAAAUAAAUAAGCCUUAACACAUGUAUUGUGUAACAUAGUUAGAUGAGAAUAUUAAUAAACAAAAAAAGAUAAAAAUGUACCUCUCAAAUGGAUACAUCCAUCGAUAGCUAACUAGUCCAGCAAGUUUGGUCUCAUGUGGUAAAUGUACCAUCAAGUGAACCAUGACAUCAAAGAAAGCCGGUGGGAAUAUCCUCUCAAGCUUACACAAUAUUAAGGCAAUCCCUUCUUCUAAUUUUUCCAACACAUAACUUUUGGAAAAAACUACACAACUCAGCCAGUGUUGUACAAAAAUCUUUAUUAAAAUAUGGACGAAUAGCAAUAGGGAGUAAUUUUUGUAGCAAAACAUGAUAAUCAUGACUCUUUAACCCUAAGAUCUUCCCAUCAUUGAUGCUAACAUUUCUAGAUAAAUUUGUAGCAUUAACCAUCUGGAAAUUUAACAGACUUUAGAAACUUAUAGAACUCUUUCCUUUCCUUUACAGUCAAUGUGUAGCAUGCAUGGGGUUUUACCAAUUUGUUCCCUUGUAUUUGCAAAUGCAAUUCUUUUCUUAUAUUCAUAUUAGCCAAAUCUAAGUGAGCUUUGUUUGUAUCUUUUGUUUUUCCUACAAUAUUCAAAAGUUCCCACAACACUAUCACAUAGAUUCUUUUCAACAUGCAUAACAUCAAUAUUAUGUCUCAACUUCAACUUUGACCAGUACUCAAACUCAAAGAAAAUACUCUUUUUUGUCUAAUUUAAUUCUUCAAGCACCCGCUUUCGCUUUUUAUCAACGUUGUUUGGAUGCUUACCAGGCUUCCGCUGUUUAAGACAACACAAUUGUUGCAAUAUUUCAUCACUAGAGAACAUUCUUGGGGUUGGUCGAAACUCCAGCUUACCAUCGUGUUGUCUACUCCUUCCCUAUCCAUGAUCAAGAGGUAAAAAACGUCAAUGGCCCAUGUAACAUAUUUUACUUCUAAUACCUAGUGAUGAUGUGUCUUCAUUUCAAAUUGGACAUGCUUUAUAUCCUUUUGUACUCCACCCAGCCAAGUUCCCAUAAGCAGGGAAGUCAUUUAUUAUCCAUAAAACACAUGCAUACAUGCGAAAGUUUUCUCAUGUUGACACGUCAAAUGUUUGAACACCUUCAUGCCAUAACUCUUUUAAUUCUUCUAUCAAAAGACAUAGGUAUACAUCAAUAUCUCUCCUUGGGGCUUGUGGGCCUGGAAUUAGUAAUGAUAACGUGAAAAACAUCUAUUUCAUACAUCUCCAUGGUGCCAUAUUGUAUGGCACAAGAACAACUGGCCACAUGCUAUAACUAUUACUCGUGCUCCCAAAUGGAUUGAAACCAUCUAUUACAAGCCCUAAUCGAACAUUUCGAGGUUCUUGCAAAAACCAAGGGAAUUGGGUGUCCAUAUCCUUCCAAGCUUCAGAAUCUACUGGAUGCCUUAGGACUCCCUCCUCACUGAUUCGUUUUUCUUUAUGCCACCUCAUAUCUGAUGUUGUAUGCCUUGACAUGGAUAACCUUUGUAGCCUUGAUUUUAGUGGAAAAUGAUGCAAUACUUUUUGAAGAAUUUUUUUACCUUUUCCAUUACAGAACUUAUAUCGUGGCUCAUCACACACUAGACAUUUGUCAAGAGUCUCAUUCUCCUUCCAAAACAAUGCACAAUCAUACUUGCGUGCAUGGAUUGAAUCAUAUCCUAAGCCCAAAUCUCUUAAUAUCUUCUUAGCAUCAUAGUAUGUCUUUGGAAUGUUUGAUCCUUCUGGAAAAGCAUCAACUAAAACUUGGAGUAACAUGUCAAAAGACUUGUCACUCCAAUGAUUGAGGACUUUAAUAUGUAUUAACUUCACAAGGAAUGUCAAAGCAGAAAACUUUUUACAACCCGGAUACAAUUCUUUAUUAGCUUCAUCAAAUAAGUAAUCAAAUUUUCCAUGAGUAGUGGAUUCCUCUAAGUUAAUAUCAUUGUCUAUGUGUCCACAUGCAUCAUUUAAUGCAUCCACAACUUCAUUAAGGAUAUCAUCAUCAGUAGUGUCAACAAUUUCUGUAUCAACACCAAUAUCAUUUUGCCCAUUAGGUUGAGAUUCAUGUUCUUCCCCAUGAAAAAUCCAUUUUUGAUAACUUCUAGAACACCCAAACCUAAUCAAAUGACGUUUAAUUGUCAACAAAUCAUUGAAUCGUGCAUUUUGACAAUCUCGACAUGGAUAACGUGUCUAGUUAUCCCAUCGCAAGUGUUCUUUUGCAAUUUGAAUGAAUGACUUGACCCCUUCAACAUAAUCUCUAGAUAACCUAUUUGGCAACCACAUCCAAUCCCUAUCCAUUCUUAUUAUCCUGUAAAUUUAAAAUGAAUCUCAUAUUCAAUAAAGAUAAAAUAUUGAUCUCUAUUUCUCAAUCUUACAUUGUUUUUUUCAUAUUUUUUCAUAUGCCCAAUAUUCAAUUCCAUGAGAUGUCAUUUUCCCCAAUAUUGCACUAAAAUUCAAUUACCCAACUCAUUGGCUUGUUUUGAAUAAAAUGGAAACUUGGACUUAACCAACAUAAAACUCUAAUUCACCUUACAUAUUUUGCUAUAUACAUGUAAAUGUUAAAAUCUAAUGCAUGAGUUGUACUUCCUACAUAAAUUAGGUGGUGGUUCCUAUCCCAUUUAGGAUUGCAUAAUGUCUAAGAGUCAAUCACCAAGUUGCUUAGAUCCAUUUUGAGAAAAAAUCGGCAGCAUUUCCCCAUAGUUCUCCAAGUACAUGACUUGACCAAGGCACAAACAAACUAUUAGUUAGCUUAAUUAAGCAACUAACAAUAUGUCACCUUGUCCAAAUAUGCACCCAGAGAAUAAUAGGAAUAACUAUCAUAAUCUUUCAAUAUGGACAAAGCACUAACAAGUGAUUGAAUAAAUAUUAUGCAUUCCUAAACUGUCCAAAUGGACAAUUCAAGCAUCAUUUGAAGACAAAUAACUAAUCAUAUGCUAGACAUAUAUGUCAACUUGAAUUUGGCUCAAAGAGAGUCAUUUUCAUAAUUUUACAACUUAUUUGUCUUAAGUAUAUGAUAAGAUACACUUGUCCUACACUAAUACUUGAACGGGAUAUCUAAGGUUUCAUGCAUGUAGUUUCAUUAUUAAUAAAAAGAUGUUUGUUGUUUUUCAUAAACUUAUUUUAUCAAGUUUAGUUCUUCUAACUUAAAUUGUAUUAAUAUGAAAAAAAAAUUAUAAUUACAAAAUAAAAAUAAUGGUAUAAUUAACAUUCCAAGAUAUAAUACAUAAUAAAUAAAAUAAUUAAAAAUGAUUUUUUUUAAUUACAAAUUAUAAAGGGAAUUAUGUAAUGUACCAUUUUAACAUAAGUUGUUGAAACUCUAAAUAAUUCAUUUUGUGAUAAUAAAAAUGUAAAUGAAAGGCACUACAUUUUUACCUAAUCCUUGAAGCAAAUCUAGGCAACAAUGUGGUAAAGCACAAAUAAAUAAAGUUAUAUAAACAUGUCAUUUAUAAAUUUAAUUGAUAGAACAUAUAGAUGAUAUAUAAUAUUAAUCCAUUAUAUAAUAUCUAAUAUAUUGAAAUGGAUAGGUCAAAGGUAACAAAUCACAUUUUAUUUAUUAGCUUAAAAUUUUAUUUUCUUAUCAAAAUGUAUUUUCCUUAAUUAAAUUAACUUUAAAAAAAUAACAAUUUUAUUUUAAAUAUUAUUCUUUUGAUUGAAAUUACUUAAUCCAUGCAAAAAUUACUCCUCCCUAAUAACUACUUUAUUAUUUCGUAUUAUUUUACUAAUAAAGUGAAAAUAAAUUAAGUAAUUAAAAUGAUGACUUUUAUUUAUUAAUAUAAUGUUUGGAUUAACUCACAAAAAUUAUUUCAUUUUUUUUAAUAUUCUUCUUUUCAUUGAAAUUACUUAAUCCAUGCAAAAAAUUACCCCUCCCUAAUAAGUACUUUAUUAUUUUUCUUUUAUUUUACUAAAAAAAGUGCAACUAAAUAAAUUAAUUCAAAUGAUGACUAUUUAUUUAUUAAUAUAAUGUUUGGAUUAACUCACAAAAUUAUUUCAUUUUUUUAAACUACCAUAAACUAGCAUUAUUUUAACUAAUUUUCUAUAAACUAAUUUUUAAUAACCUAAUUUAUAUUCUCUCACAUCUAGAUUUUUCUAUAUAAUUUGCUUGUUUCCACUAGUCAAAAAUUUUAUUAUACUCUAAAAACCUGAAUUUUAACUAAAAUUAUUUUUACAUUAGUUUACAUUUUCAAUUUCAAAUUAUUUUUAGCUCAACUCAAACCAAAUUAUUAGAAAAUUUUGUUAAGAAAUUAAGUCCAUUGGAGAGAAAGAAAAAUAAAUACUUAUUAAAUUUAAACACAAAUUAUUUCAACAUUUUAAGUGAAAUAGAGAGAAUAAUCAAGUAUUAACAAACAUGUAAACAAAUAAAAAAAAACAAUAAAAAUUAUAAGGGAACACAUCGGUGGUGGAUUUCUGUAGUGUAACAAACCUAUGAAAAUGGCAGAUAAAAAGCUUUGUCGGCUCGGUAAACUUUGGUGGAGAAUGGUGGAUAUGGCUUGCAAGUGGGGAACCAUUUUUUAAGAAGGUGGAUGAGAUGGUGAAAAUGGUGGAAGGUUCAAGAGGUUAUGGUACAUGUUAGAGAUGUGGUGGGAAGUGAUGCUCUUUUUCAUUUUCAAAGUUGCAUGCAAACGAUGGAGAGUUGGUGAGAAAGUCUUCUCACUUUUCAAAGUUCCAGUGCUACGUGGGUGCUUGGGAGAUUUGUUUUUUUCUUUUUUUUAUUUCACUUUCUUUUCAUUUCAUUUCCCAACCAAAACUCCACACCAUCCAUUGUGUCAUCUCCUCAACCAAAUCUCAGUAGCAUGCUGCUACAACUCGAUGCAUUUAAUGCAUUUCAUGAUGUUAUAUGUUUUAUAUUAUUUAAAAUUUAGAAUUAAAAAAUUAAAAAAUUAAAAAUAUAAAUUAAAAAUUAGAUUAAAAAUAAAAUUGAAACUUUAUUAUUUGCCUAUUAUUGGGACUAUUUAUUAUUUAAAAUUUAGAAAAUAAAAAAAAUUAGAAUUUAUAAAUUACAAAUUAGACUAAAAAUAAAAUGUAAGAUUUAUGAGUUUUGCAUUAUUUAAAAUUAAAAAUUUUAAAAUAAAAAUUGAAAUUUAAAGUAAGGAAUAAAAAUCAUAGAUUAAAUAUUUUAUUAAAAAAACAUAUAAAAGUGUAAAACAAUUAGUAGCUAUAAUAGUUGCUACUUUUGUGGCAUAAUUUAUGAUCUUAUUUUAGUAGUUAAGCUAAAGAUCAUUAAUACAUCAUAAAAUUAUUCAAAAGUUAAAAUAAUCAAUUGUUAAUAAAGAAGUGGUUAGAUACCUUACAAUUCUUUUUUAUGUAUAUAAUAUAUUACUAAUAUAUAAUGCAUUUUUUAUUUUCUAAAAUAAUAAUAUAGUAGUUAUGCAUAUGGUACAAUGUAUUGUAUCAUAUGAUAUUUAACUUACAAUCAUAUAUUCAUCAAUGAUAUAAGAUAUUAAACAUAAACCAUAUUUGGAAUUUAUGUCACUAGAAUAUCUUGACAAAAAUUAGGUUAUUAUUUGAUCAUUUCUAAUAUUAACAAUUAUUUAAAAACUAAACAAUAAUUAAAAAAAUAUUUUUAUUAGGUUAAUCUAGGUAAUUAAAUAUUAGUAUAAAUUUACUUUUAAAGUGAAUAAGCCUAAGUGCAACAAUUCGUGUCAGCAGCUCAUUUUUAUCUUUUUUCAUUUUCUUUCUCUUAUAUUUCAAACAAAAAUAUCAAAUGCAAUAAAGCACUAUAAAUAUAAAUGAUAUACUAUUUUAUGAUAUGUUACAAUUAUUUUUAUAACUAUAUUUGUUUUACAUGUUUUAUUAAAAAAUUGUAUACAAAUAUAAAAACUUUUUUACAAGUUAGUAGGUACAACAUUUACUAUUUUGUGAUAUAAUUUAUGAUUUUAUUUUUAAUAAGUAAUCAUUUAUGAUAAAUUAAUAUUUAACAAAUAAAAAUAAAAAUUUAUAAUGAGAUCAAUAAAGUGUUCAGACUUCCCAAGCUUACAAAGUUAACUAUACACCACUAGGAUAAUAAUUCAUUUGAGUUAUUAAAGUGCCUACAUUAUAUAUAAUUAUGUUUACACCUAAAUUUUAUAUAUAUUUUAAAUACUAAAAUAUUAAGAUAAAGUUUUAAUAAAUCUAUUAAUUUUAAAUAUUUAAUUUUAUUUUCCAUUUAAUUUAUUAUUGAAAGCACAAAAAUCAUGAAUGAAAUAAAAAUAUAAUAAUCAUUCACAUAUUAUAAAGUAAAUAAAUUAUCAUUAACAUUAAAUAUGCCUUCAAAUACUGUUGAUUAUUAUAAAAUGUUACAAUUUAUAUCAUUCAUAUAUUAAUUUCUUCAUAUACCCGUUAUAAUAUGUAUAUAUAUAUGACACAUUUUUUAUUUUGUUAUUAAUAUUAUAGUAGUUAGGCAUAUAAUGUCAUAUAUCAUAUCAUAUAAUAUUUAAUUGCAAUCAUAUAUGUAUUGAUAAUAUAUGAUAUUUUUUAUACACACAAGUAUUAUUUGAAAUUCUAUGCAAAUAUAAUGUCUUUAUAGACAUUAGGUAAUUUAUUUGAUAAUUUCAAUUAUGAACAACUAUUUAAAAACCAAGUAAUAAUUAUAAAAAUCUAUUAAUUUAAACUAGGUAGUUAAAUAUUAAUAUAAAUUUACUUCUUGAGUAAACAACAUGAUUUUGAAUGAGAACAAAUUAAAGGAUCAUUACUUAUUCAUAGCUAAUUUAAGUUCAAUACUAUAUUAAACUUGCAAAAAUAACUUUUACAUUGUAUAAUAAAAAAGAUUUAAAAUUAUUUAUGUUUGGUUAACAUCAUAUAAUAAUAUUGAAAUUUAAAUAAAUUUAUAUUAUUUCUUGGAUUAUUUGUUAUUAUCUAUAUAAAAAAUAUAACAUAUAUAUUACACUAUAAAAAUUAAUUGCUUAAAUUAUUUACCUUUUUAUUAUUUCAUAACAAUACUAUUAUUACAUAACAAAACAUUUAAAUUUCUAUAAAUCUAUAUUCUAGUAUUUAAUUUUAUGAAUCUUUAAUUAGUAUUAUUAUUAUAUAUAUAUAAAUAAAAUAUUAUGAUUUAAAUAUCAAGUCUCAAAAAAUACGUAUUAUAUUAUUUUAUAGCAUAAAUCUUUUAUCUAUUUGUCAAUAUGACUUAUUACUACUACAAUUUAGCAACACUAUUUAGUGACAAAAUGACUUAUUUUGUCAGAAAAUAAUAUAUUUACUGAUGAAACUAUUUUGUAAGCAAAUAUGGAUAAAAAGUUGUAACUUUUAGUAAGGAAAUUAUUUUCGUCACAAAAAAAUUGUAUUUAGUAACAAAUAUUUUCGUUUGCAAAUAGUUUUUUUCAUCACAAUAGCGUUUGCGCCAAAAAAAAAAAUGCCGCCAAAUUUUCCUGCCAUGUCUUUUGGCGUCGAAAAAUUCAAAUUCGUUACAAAAAGUUUUCAGAAAUUUGACAUUACCAACAAUAUUUAAAAUUUCAUCGGUAAAAGUUAUUUUUAGCAACAAAAUUACAAUUCGCCCCUAAAUUUUUGUCGAGAAAAAUAAGUUUUCUUGUAGUGGAUGUUUCCAAAUCAAUUCCGCUUGGUGAAGAUGAAGAAAAAUGAAUUUGGAAGUCUCGUACACCUAAGAUCUUUAGCCCAAUGACUCGAACCAUGAUCAUGAAACUCCAAAGUGUGGGCUUUGGAAUGGAAGAUCACUUGGCUCUCACUAUUUCUCUUAUGCUCUGGAGGUGGAAGACAAAGUCUUUCUUAAGGUUAUGGAAACGAUAGCCCCUAAGGGGGUAUUUAUAGAGUUCCCCUACGAGGCUUAAGUGACUUAAGUUCACCAAGGCUUAAAUGACUUGAGCUCACCAAGGCUUUGGUAACUUAAUUUAGCUCAAAAUGGGUCCUAAUUGAUUAAUUAACCACAUAGGGUCAUCUAAUUAAUCAAUCAGCUUGUUCUAGAGAACUUGUUCACUCUCCCAUAUGCAACCUUGCGUAAUUACCAAAACAGCCUUAUACACAAGAGUGAACCAAGAGCCAAUCCAACCCUUAUAAACUAUGUCAUCAUGGCAUAUGUGAUGGGAAAAACCCUAAUCUCUUUGUUUCUUAAGUCCUAUUUAGGUUAGGAACAUGCAUAACUAUCUUAGGAUUUUUCUAAAUCAUAUGCACAAUAGAAAAAUAACAUUUUUAUACUUUAAAAGGAUUCAAAAAGUACUAAUGAAAAUCAUACCUCAUAUUUGGAUGUUCCCGAAUCAAAUCCACAUGGUGAAGAUGAAGAUCGAAAUCGUAGAAGUCUCGUAAACCUAAAGUCUUUCACCCGAUGACUCGAACCUUGAUCUUGAUACAUUUUUGGUAGGGAGGAAAAGAGGGUGGAGGCUAUGGCUCUCAAUCUCUCUAGAUGGUGGAAGACAAAAGCUAUGAAAACCCUAACCCUUAGGGGGUAUUUAUACGAUUCCUAAGUGGGCUUAAGUGACUUGAGCCCACAUGGGCCUAGGUCACUUAAUCUAGCCCAAAAUGGGUUCUAAUUGAUUAAUUAACCCAAUAGGGCCUAAAAAUUAAUCAAUUAGCUCAAUCUAGAGACCUUGUUCACUUACCCUAUGCAAUCUUACGUAAUUACCAAAAUACCCUUAUGCACAAAAGUGAACAUAUAGACAAUUUGACCCUCAUAAUCCAUGUCAACAAGGUAUAUGAGCUCAAAGCGGGGACCACUAGGAUGCAUAGGAAUACUAGGUCCCUUAGAAUUUAAUUCUAAAGUUUAUUCAACAUCCCACUAUAGAGAAUCAACUUAACUUUAGUAUUCUAUGUAAAUAACAAUGAAUUCUAAAGUUUAUUCAACAUCCCACUAUAGAGAAUCAACUUAACUUUAGUAUUCUAUGUAAAUAACAACGAGACACUAAGUGCUCAAGUUUGUGACCUGCUAUCCAUUUUGUUCAGUCUUCUCAUGAACUAGUGUUUGUAGUCUAACAAGGUGAAAGCUAUCAACCUUUCAAGACUACCUCUAUCAUCCUUGAGUUAUAGAUCCUUCUAUUGUGUGUUCAAUUGACACAUCUUAGCUUUCAAGGAGCCUAUGUCAAGUUCGACUUAAGGAACUACUAUGGCCAUAGUUUCCAUGAACACACCUCCUUAGGAUCACCCAAGAGGACACAUUAUCUCAACCCCAAGAGAUAUCAUGUUGCCUUUAUUGAGAAUACCUAUUGCUACCUAUUUCCAUCAACAAUGACCCAAUCCAUAGGAAAUAUAUGAUCAACUUACGAUCUCACCCAUAGGUCAAAGUCAUUGCUAACUUUAGCACAACUCAAUAUUCUCCCAAGGUUGAGAGACAACAUAAUCAAGAAACUUGGUGAGGUCAUGACUAUUUGAUAGCCUUAAGUCAUGAUUCACCAUAGGUCCUAUUUAAUGUGUAACCAUUGAUACGUUCCCAAUUGGUGUUUCAGCUGAUUUAUAUCCUCUUAAUGGUCCCUGACAGUGGUACCAUUUGAUUCGUGUCCAGCUGGUGUCCCUUGAUUGUGGUCCUCAAAAAGGAGUAAUCAACAAAAUUUAUAACCUAUUACACCAUGUACUAGGAUAGCCUUAGCUAGCAUAGCAUAGUGGCUCUAGGGUCGUUCACUGGGAUAGGUUUUCACUUCACAAUUGAUAUUAAUUCAAAGAUGAAUUGGUGCUUUUUCAUUUCGAGGUUAGCUUUAAAAGAAAACAUAAUCUGUGGUGGAAAAAGGAUUGGUUUUAAGCUAACCAAAAAUAGUAACUGAUUUUACUUACAAAGAAAAGUGUUUCUUGGAGUUUAGAUCACUAGGCUCAGGUUCCUUGAACAAAAAGGGAGUUCUGGUCACUUGUUUCUUUUCCUUGCAUUAGAGAAUUAACAAAUAGUUAAUUCUCUAACCGGUGCGGUACAAAUGCUUCCCCUUAAUAGGUUCAAACACUAAAUCCCUCUCACUGAUUCAUCUUGCAAUGACUCAUGCCUCUCACCUAGCAUUUGCCAUUCAAGGUGAUCUUUAACCUUGGAUUACCCGUCAAAAGCUCACAAGAGAUAACUAAUGGAUGUCUCCUUAGAGUCCAAAAGCUUAUCAAGUGUUGGCUAUUCUAGAAAAUCCUACCUUCAAACCACCUCCCAAAGGCUCGCAAGAGAUAAACUAGUGCAUCUUCAUGGACGGAGAUCACUUGCCUUACCAAGUGUUGGCCCAGGUGAUUUAAAGGCAUUUUAAGUUAACUAAAAAGAUAAAAACCAUUAACGGGUCACACUUUCUCUUCAUUAAAAACUAAAACAACAAAACUUCCAAUUUUGCAUUCGGAAACUUACCCGGAUUUCUUCACUCCAAGAGACGAAGAGCUUAGCCUCUCAUCCUCUGAGGAAACAUCCUCAGAGUUUGAUUGGCUAGAAAGAAAAAUAACGAGAGAACAAAAAUAUGAAGGAAAAAAACAAAGCAAGUGCUCUGUAAAAUAUAUUUCUUCCUUUCGCCGAUUACAUGAUUCUUUGUAAAGAAAAUUACAAAACUAUAUAUAAACUGUUAUUCACCCUUUGUUCUUACUUAAAGACUAAGGAAUCUUAUGAUAGGUGGGUUACAAGGAGAGUUUGGGGAUUUAGACAUCAAAUAUCUAAAGCAAAAAAUCUCAAAAUGUCGGUUGCAAAUAUCGGGAAGCUUCAGGAGAAAUUUUGUUGCACUGUGCAAAAUGGCUGCGAAACUUUCGCAGCAAAAGGACAACAUUUUCGCAGCCCAAGGCUAACUUCACAGCCAUGCAAAAAUUUCCUUCAGCUUGGAGUGAUCUACUUGCAAUGGCUGUAACUCCUUCAUUUCAACUUCGAAUCGCGCACCGUUUGAAGCAUUGGAUUGUUGACUUCCUGAGCUUUGAAACAACAUAUAGCGUGCAUAAAUUGAACUCCCAAAAGUGCUCCAAAAGUGGCUGACAUGACUGUCAUCAAGAAUGCUUCAUGGCAGAUUUCUCUUUGCUUCCCUUCCUUGCAUUCCGGAUUUGCUUAUGGCAAAGGACUUCAAAGCUUCGAUUCUUGAUGUUUCUGAGCUUUCCAUUUCUUUGCCAUGGAUUCCAAAGAACUCUCCUCAAUCUCGGAUUGCUUUGGUGAUCAAAUUACUAACAAAAACACCAAAACUUACACAAAGUGAUUAGAAAUGAUUGCAAAGGUCCUGAAUAUGUUAAUUGGGUUAAAAGGUAAUAACUACUACUCAAAAGUGUUUAAAAGAGUUAAUUACAAGCUAUAAAAUAACACUUUUUGAGUAGUAAUCAACCAUACACACUAGUGAACUUACCAUGGGAAACCCAUCCCGAUAACCAAGGCUAGCCAUCCCUCCAAUUAGGAGGUGGUGCACUACAACCUCUAAUAAGUUGCCUAUACCCAUGAACCGGUUGUGAACAAGUCAUUUAUUUGAAAGGAACCCAUGACUUAGAUCUUCUAUGCAACUCCUAAUGCACCUAAGUUAUGUACAAUGUAAAAUAUGCAAGCAAGAAUGCUCAUAAAGUAUAUGAAAUAAGGAUAGAUAGAAGUGAAACUAGAACAUCAUUAAAUAAAUAAUAAAUUCAAAAUUUAUUACAUCACGUUAUGCUUUUAAGGGUUCUAUCCUAACAAUCUCCGACUAGCCCUCAAAGCAUCAUGCUUAUAAAGCAUGUCAAAUACUCAUAUGAAACCUAUGUUAUCCCUAUGACUAACAAAGACUCUCCUUGUCAAUGUCUUGGUGAAGGGAUCCACCAGGUUUUCCAUAGAAGGUAUCUUAUCAACUAUCAUGUCACCCUCUAAACUAUCUCAACACUUUGGAGCACAAGCACAUAAUCCCUCAUUUUCCUAAGAUACUUAAGUAUACGCUUGAUAGUUAUCCAAUGUUUUGGACUUGGAUUAAACUAAUAUCUACUUACCAUGCCCACUUCAAAGCAAAUAUAGAGCCUAGUACAUAACAUCGCAUACAUAAGAGUACUUACUAUAGAGGUGUAAGGUACUAGCUAUAAGAGCUCUUUCUCUUUAGGUGUUUUAGGACAUUGAUCCUGAGAAAGGGGAAUUCCAUGCCUAAAAGCUAACAAACCUUUCUUGGAAUUCUGCAUACAUACUUGACCAAAAGCUUAUCUAUGUAGGUAGUUUGAUAUAGCACUAGGUUCCUAUUCUUGCGGUCCCUAAGGACCUUAAUCCCAAGAAUAUAUUGUGUUUCUCUUAGAUUCUUCAUCUAGAACUAAAUUGACAACCAUAUCUUGACUGAUGAUAGUAGCCCUACGUCAUUAUUAAUGAGUAAAAUGUCAUCAACAUACAAGAUCAUAAAGAUCACCAUCCUUCCCUACACUUUCUUGUACACACAAGGCCCUUUACUAUGAAAAUAUCUAGUUACAUCAUAUGGAUGCUAAUAUCAAGAUAAUCGUUUAAGGACACUAUCUUGACAUCUUAUUGUAAUAUCUCAUAAAUAAGAUACACCACAAUAGGUAGAAGUACUUUGAUGGAUCUGAAUAUGGAUACUGGUGAAAAGGUUUCCCAUAUCAAACUAUAACCUUUAGCUACAACCUAGCCACAUAAAAAUCAACUUUUCCAUCUACUCAUUUAUUCCUCUUGUCGUCCAACUUACAUCUAUGGGUUUUACGCUUCAAGUUCUUCUACGAGAACCCUGACUACAUUAGAAUCAUAAGAAUUCUAACUCUACCUCCAUAGCUUUUUUCCAAAGAUGUGCAUCCACAUUAGUCAUUGUUUUAUCAUAAUCUAUGGGAUUGAUCUCAUGUUCCUUUAAAAUGGCCUCCAAAGACUUUCCCAAAUACAUAAAUUGGUCUGGUUGUUUAACAACCCUUUCACUAUGACAAGGCAUCAGUGUACGAGAAAUGGGAAUGGUUGGUAUUGGAUCCAUAGUAUGUUGUGUAUAGUGGGACUAUCUUCUAGUAUUCUCCAAUCUAUACCAUUGUUUGCCUUAUUACAUAUCAUAUAGUCUUCAUAAAAAAUUUGGUAUUUGUAACAACAAACACCUUCUAAUAAUCCUGACUAUAAAGUAAUAAUCCCUAAAUCCUCUUAGAUAUCUUAUAAAGUGAUACACCUCUUUAGAAAAAACGGUUUUAUACAUCCUUGAAAAUAUAUCCCCAAAUAAUAUGGGAAAUAAUGAGAAACCAAUCACUGAUCUCACUAUGCCUAUCAAGUUCAAUAUCUUCUUUCCAUUACUCCAUUUUGCAAUAGAGUCCUUGGUACACACAACUAGGAUAUCAUCUCAUGCUCCAUAUAAAAAUUAUUGAACCUACUAGACACACUACCUCAAUCUAAUCGAAGUGUCUUGAUAUGUUCACCCAAUAGGUUAUCCGAUUCCGCCUUAAAUUCAAUGAAUUUAUCAAAGGCAUCAAAUUUCCUAUUUACAUAUCCAAAACUAGAUUAUUUAUCAAUAAAAUGAUCAAAUACCCAUACUUUCCAUAUGUAAACACAAAAAGGUUCAUAUACAUGAGUAUGCACUAACUCUAAACAUUCCUUAGUUCCAAGUCCUUUAACAAUAAAGGGGCCUCUUGGUCAUUUUACCAUCUAUAUAGGAUUCAUAGACUGAAAGAUCUUCUAGAUUAAGAAAAUCCAAACUUAAUUAGUCUUUGCAUCCUAUAUAGAUUAAUAUGACCUAGGCAUUAGAAUCCAAAUGUUUUAUUAGUGCUAGGUUUUUACUUUUAUUGAGAUUUGACUAUUUUUGUUACUUGGCGAAGUGAUAAUGGAGUCUCGCAUAAAAAAGGUAAUACCUCCCACUAACUUGGACAACUAAUCUUGCAACUAAAGCUAAGGUAAGUAUAAUCCCUUCAUGUGAGCUUCUCACUUGUUGAAAACCCUGUAAAUAACUACAAAUAGUGGGCUUGGAAUCUAUCCACCACAAUUGGUGAAAUCCACCACCAUGUAUUCAACAAUAAGAACCUGAUGUGUACUUGUCUAUCCGUAGGCACUCCAAGCAUUCCUUUUUUAAGUGUCCUAAAAGGUCACAAAGGAAUCAUUGCCCAUGAGUUUGUUCUCUCAUUCCUUCUCUUGAACUUUCCUUAUUUGGUGUUGUUGUUAUUCUUCUUGGCAGAAAAGUAUGAAGAACCUUGACUUUCAUAUGUACACCUUUUUACUCUUUGAGAAUCUUCUUACCCAUCCUAAAGGAAUCUAGUAAGAUCUCUAAAAUAACUUGAAUCCUGGUGUUCAUAAUAGUCUUAAGGGAAACUUGUCUAGUUGACUUGCCCUUAUCACCAAAUAACCCUUGUAACUUUAAAGACAAUAUCAUAGACUAUGGCAAUAGACAUGUGUUGCUUUUGCAACAUAUUAUCUAAAGAUCCAAGUAUUAAAGACUUAGUCGUUUGAUCCGUCUUAUGCCACCUUUGAUAUGUUUCUCUUACUUUAUGAUAGGAUUGUUCAAAGGAAAUAACAAACUCUACCAAAAUCAGCUUAUAUGCAAUUAAUACUAUAUCUAGAUUAUUUUCAAUAUAUAAUUAGGUCCAAUUUAAACAAGAGAUAAAAGGUGGCAGGUUAAAGACAUGAUAUCAAUAAUAAAUAUAAUAAUUUCAUGUAUUAAUAAAAAGAAACUGAGCAUUCAAGGCAAGUUGGUAAUUAAUUUAACAAAAAUGUAAUGCUCUCAAACUACAUAUAUCCACGCAAGGUAUCCUAGUAUCAUAAGAAUCAAUCCUACUUUAGGCAAGUCAUGACUCUUAUUACUAAGUAGAGACCCUUUCUAAUUAAUCAACCCGCCUUAAACCUCCAAAGGUUAUCCUAAGGCAUUAAUCAACAUACCUUUAUGUUUAGCCCUUAGUCCAUGCAAGUGGGACCACUUUAGGUGAUUCUACCACUUCAUGUCUAAGUUAAGUGUGUAACCAAGAUCCUUGACAUCAAUAUUACCAAGUGAAGAGUUCCAUCUUUAGCAUUGGCCGCUCUCAUUACAAACAUAUAUAGUCUUGUUCAUAAAGGAUAGUUCAUAUCCCUUGAUUCCUUGGGUCACCCCAUCUUUGGGAUGGUGAUGGAUUUAAAAUCAAGAUGGGCUUGAUCUUAGAGGCUAUGGACUUGCCUAUGGCCCGCUCUCACUUAACAUUUUGGAAGAAAGACUUUAAGAUAAUUUUAGUAUCUAUCUUAAAAUAAAUUAUCCAUCAUGAGAAUUUCCAAAACUUUUAUUUAUUACUUCAAUUGGGACUCAUGUGUCAAAUAGGGAUAUCUUCAUAUUCCUUAUCCUUGAACUUUUCUUUUCAAACCAAACAAUUUCCUCCUUCUCUCAGGGAGGGAGAGCUUGAAGAACCAACUUAGGUGUCAUUCUCCUUCUCCUUGGGGGAAGAGCGUGGAUAACCAUCUAACCCAAAUAAAGGAAAGUCCCAAAAGGAAUUUGAAAUUCCUAAUGAUAACAACCAAUUUCUUAAAUAAAUAAUAAUGGAAAUAAAAGUCAUGAAAAUUUAUUCUUUUAAGAAAAUCCAAAUUUACCAUUUUAAUUUAUUUUAUUUGAAAUAAUAUCUUGUUAAGCUAUCUUAACCAUGAAUUAUCUAUCAUAUAUUUUUCCAAAAAUAAUUUAUUUCUUUAAAUUAGUAUCUUGUGCUAAAUAGGAAAAAUUUUAUUUCAUAAAGACUUGGAAAAAUAAAACUUCUUCCUUAAAAUAAAAAUAUUCUUAGAGAUCUAAAAUCUAAAAAGAUUAAUUUUGAAAGAAAAAAAUCUCUAAAAGUCUAAUUUUGAAAAGGAAGUAGGUUCCUUAUUUCUUUCCAACUUGUCUUUACCUAAAAUAAAAAUUUCCUAAUUCAUAGCACAUUCCAAUUUAAUAAAUUAUCUAAAAUAAGGAAAAAAAAAAUGAAAAUUCAUUAACUUAAGAAUACCAAAAUAUAUUCUAUGCUAAAAAUAAAAAAUCAUAAAAGACAUUAAAUGAAAUUAAAUAAAUAAUUCUCAUGGCCUUAGGAAUCCUAUUGCAAAUUUGGUAACUAAAAUUUGGAUAAAAUCCAAAUUACCAAAAUAGCCUUGAAACCAAAGAUAGGGUUAGUGAAAAAAGAAAAAAACCCAACGGACCUAAUUGCCACAAAAAGAGCCCAAAAAUUGGACCCAAACAACUAAAAACAAUUUGACCCAAACUCAAUCUUGUAAUUGCAUGCCCUUUGCGCAACCUUGCUUCAAUAAACCAUAUCUCCCUCGUUUCAACUUCAAAUUGAAAUCGGUUUGAAGCAUUGGAUUCCUAACUUCCUAAGUUUCUAAACCAUAUAUGGUUUUCCCCAAAAAGCUCAAAGGAGGUAGCCCCAAUUUUGAGUUGAAGUCAACAUGAUUGUGCUUCCAUGAUCUUUGUGCAGCCUUGAUUCAGUCGGCUAUAACUUUCUCGUUUCUACUCCGAAUUGUGAUCCAUUUGAAGCAUUGGACUUUUGACCUCCUAAGUUUCAAAAUCAUAGGUGGCUUGCUUUAAGAAACUCAUAGGAAGUCAUCCCGAUUUUAAGUUAAAAAUGAAAAAAAUUAUACUGCUAAGGAUCUCAAAUCAAGAACUUCCAAGAUUCUUUAUUUUCCGUUAAAUCACCAUAGGAACUCAUGAAAGAAAUUUCAAGAUGCCUUCUUUUCUCUUUUCUAGCAAGGGAAUGUGUGUGACCGCUUUUUGAUGCUUUGGUUGCUUCCAUACUAUCCAUAAGUUAUAAAGAAUGAUAAAAAUAAAAAUAAAUAAAUAAAUAAAAAGAAUUUUUACAACAAAAUCCUAUACUCUAAAGAUUUGGAGUUUACAUACCAUUCUAAGAUUAAAAAAAUAAUAAAUAAUAAAUAAAUAAAUAAUGAAUUUUUACAAAAGAACAUAAAUCUUAUGCCUCUUAUGAGGCUUACAACCCAUCUAGGAAAAGUAAAAAACCAACCAAGUAAUUAUUACAACCCUAAUAAAAAGCAAUCACAAUUAUAACCAUCAUAUUAUAACAAGACCAUAAUAAAUAACACACAUUAAUUAUCCUUAGGGCCAUGGGAUAAACAAAAACAAGUUAGCACACCCUAGAAUGGUUCUAAAACGAUUACUAACCUAUGGCUCUUAUACUAGUUGAAGGGAAAAACUUGUAUCUCUUAGUUUCCCAAGUCCAGAUCAAGAUAGCAACAUGCAUAACUAUCUUAGGAUUUUUAUAAAUCCUAUGCACAGCAAAAAAAUAACAUUUUUAUACUUUAAAAGGAUUCAUAAAGUGCUAACGAAAACUAUACCUCAUAUUUAGAUGUUCCCUAAAUCAAAUCCACAUAGUGAAAUGAAGAUUGAAAUCGUAGAAGUCUCAUAAACCUGAAGUCUUUCGCCCAAUGACUCGAACCUUGAUCUUGGCAUACUUCCGGUGGAGAGGAAAGAGGGUGGAAGCUAUGGCUCUCAAUCUCUCUGGAUGGUGGAAGGAAAAAGCUAUGGAAACCUUAACCCUUAAGGGGUAUAUAUACGGUUCCUAAGUGGGCUUAAGUAACUUAAGCCACAUAGGCCUAAGUCACUUAAUCUAGCCUAAAAUGGGUCCUAAUUGUUUAAUUAACCCAAUAGGGCCUACUAAUUAAUCAAUUAGCCCAAUCCAGAGACCUUGUUCACUUACCCCUUUGCAACCUUGCAUAAUUACCAAAAUGCCCUUAUGCACAAAGUGAACUUAAAACCAAUCCAACCCUCAUAAUCCAUGUCAACAAGGUAUAUGAUCUCAAAGUGGGGACCACUAGGACCCAUAGGAAUACUGACUCCUUUAGAAUCCAAUUCUAAAGUUGAUUCAACAUCCCAUUAUAGAGAAUCAAUUGAACUCUAGUAUCCUAUUCAAAUAAUGACGAGAUGAAACUCAGGAUUUGUGACCAACUAUUCAUUACAUGCAAACUCCCCAUGAAUUGGUGUUUGUAAUCUAAUAAGGUGGUGUUAUCACCUAUCAAGAUUACUUCUCCUAUCCUUGAGUUACAGAUCUCACUUAUUAUGUGAUCAAUUGACAUACUCUAACUCUAAAGAGCAUAUGUCAAUUUUUCACUAAAGAAAAUGUUAUGACCAUAGUCUUCUAAAUCACAUGUCUUUUGGAUCACGCAAGGGGACACACUAUCUCAAUCUAUAAGAUAUCAUGGUGCCUUUAUUGAGCAUUCCUAUUAUCACUAGCCUCUAUCAAGAGUGACACAAUCCAUAGGGAUAUAUGACCACUUUAGGGUCUUAUCCAUAGUUUAAAACCUCUUGUUAACUUUGACAUAAGUUCAAUAUCCUCUCAAGGUUGGGAAUCCAAGUAGUAUGAUAGCUUGUGACUUAUGACAAUUGAUAGUCUUGUGUCAUGAUUUACUAUAGGUCCUAUCUAAUACGCAUCACAUGCACUAGUGCACUUAGCAUGGGAAAACCAUCCCGAUGGCCAAAACAAGUCAUCCCUUCAAUUAGGAGGUAGUGCACUACAACCUCGGAUGGAUAGCCCAAAUCCAUGAACCGAUUGUGGAAAACUCAUUACUUUACAAGGAACCCAUGACUUUGAUUUUAUGUGCAACUCCUAAUGCACCCAAGUGAUGUAUAAUUUAAAUGAUGAGGGACAUGUAUGCUCAAAUAAUCAAUUAAUAAAAAAGAGAUAAUUAAGGGAAACUAAGAAACAUAAACAAAUAAAUUUAUAAAUGAAUUUCAAUCUAUUAUAUCAUGUCAUGCUUUCUAAGGCUUAAUCCCAUCAAGAUCGUAGAAAAUACACUUAGGUGAAACGUGUGUAGUCAUCAACUAUGGUUAAGAAAUAGCAAAAUCCCUCAAUGGUGUAAAUAUGGAAAGAGCACCAAACAUCAUAGUGUAUCAAAUCAAAAGGCGAGGGUGAUAAAUUGUUGGAAGGUGGAAAAGAUAAACGACAUUGUUUAGCCAAAUGACAAAUAAAGAAAUGAGAUGGAAGAUUAGAAACAGAUGAAAUUUGUAAUUCAUUUCUCAUAUUUUGUAGCUUUACAUUUGAUGGAUGUCCUAAAAGAUGAUGUCAAAGUUUAGUCUGAGAUAAACUAAGGUUAUUACAAUUAAUUUAUUGAAAUGUUAAAGAGAAAAGAGCUAAAGCUAGUUGAAUCCAAAACAUUGAGAUUGACUUGUCUUCUACCCUUCCCAAUUAUCAUGCCGCGAGUAUGGUCCCGAAUAAGACUAGAAUCAGCAAGAAAGUUAAUAGAAUAUUUGUGUCUUUCUAUGAGUAAACUAAUGGAGAGGAGAUUGAAACAAAACUAAGGAACAAAGAAGACAUUGGUUAGAACAAUAUGAUCAGGUAAUCGCAGAAAUCCUAUUCUAUUGAUAAAAACUAAUUGACCAUUUGAUAAUGUGACAAUGGAAUUUCUAACAUGAAGAAAGGAAAUGAAAAGCUCUAUAAAACAACAGACAUGAUGUGUUGCACCCAUGUCUAAAACCCAUGAUGAUGAAGGUAAGGGAUGUAAAGAUAAGGUGGAUGAGAUGGUAAGAUACCAUGUAUGUUGGAAACAGAUGGUCCAACCUACAAUAGUUCAAUUGGAGUAAGAGUGAUUCCAUGAAGUUGAGAGCUGAGAAGAGCAAUGAGUUGUUGGCAUUGAGAAACAAUUAAUAAGCCUAGGGUGAUUUUAUAGAAGUAGUGGAUUUAGUUGAUAUGGUUUGAUUAAUUUGGGGAUUAGAUGUGCCUGCCUUGGGUUUAAACUUGUAUCCUGGUGGAUAAUCAUGGAGUUUGUAGCAUUUAUCAAUAGUAUGUCCUUAAAUACCACAAUGAGAAAGUGGUUUAUUCCGUUUUGACUUAGAAUUCCCAAUAGUUGUUGCAAUAGUUGCAGGUGGAUUAGAGUCUUGAACAACCAAAGGGUCAUAUAAAGGGGAUUUUCCAUGAGUGAUGAACCGUUGAUGUUCUUCUUGAACAACCAAGGUAAAGACUUUGGAAAUUGGAGGCAAAGGAUGAAGCAUCAAGAUUUGGGCUUAAGUUUGUACAUAAGAGUCAUUGAGACCCAUAAGAAAUUGCAUAGCAUGCUCUUGUUGUUGAAAAUCCAUCCAAGCUUUCAUUGCUCCACAUCAGUAAAUUGGAACAAGUUGAAAAUCUUAAUGUUCAUUCCAAAGUAUCUUGAAACAAGUGAAAUAGGUAUUGACGUCCAUGGCACCUUGGCAACAAGAUGCUUAUAAAUCUGAAAAAUCUGAGGUUCAUUACUUGAUGAAAACGAUUUUGAAAGUCCUACCAAAUUCCAACAACAGUAUCCAUAUAAUGAAGACUAUCAACUAUCUCCUUAAUAACAAAAUUCAAUAUCCAGGAAAUUACCAUGCUAUUGUAGCAAACCUAGGAGCCAUAGAGAAGGUUGUCUGCAUCUAGAUAAGGAAUGCUUCCAUUGACAAACCCAACCUUGUUCUUCACAGUGAGAGCCAUGAGCAUCUCGCGACUCCAUGUUUGCAAUUGUUAUCACUAAGAUAGUGAGAAACCAAGAAUAAUCAUGGAUGACCUCCAUUUGAGAGAAAAUAUGGGCUACUGGAGUCUUCCAUGGGAGAAGAAUUGGGGGCGUUGACUAUUGAACAACCGGAGAAGCCGUCUCGAGCUAUCAAAUGGAAAGAUUAAGCAUAGCGAAGAGAAAAUGCUCUAAUACCAUAUUAGAGAGAAAAUAGAAUUGGGAGAAAAAUUCUCUGAUCUCACUCACAAAUGCGAAAAGUGUACGAUUGGUUUUAUAAGGGUUGGAGAUAAGAAUUUGUUACAAAAAUGUAACAAACUCCAACUCACCAUUGUAAGAAAGGACAAAAAAUGGAGAAGAUAAAAAAUGGCUAAUUCAAGACUUAAUAGAACGAAAGAUGUAAAUUUUUACCUUAAAGAAGACUCUAAAUAAAGAGUAUUUUCCUAUUUUGAUGUAGAAUAAAUAUUAUGAGUAUUUUAGGGACACGCAAAUGAUGCAUUUUUAAAGCAGGUUUUACAUGUGGAUUUAGGUGGUGUUUGUUUUUUUGGCUUUUUGCUUAAAGCAAUUUGUUUUCAGACUUUAGGUUGUUUGUUUUUCUACUUUUUCAUGACUUAUUAUAAACUUUUUAUUAAAUAGAAAAAACCAAAAUAUGUGGCUUUUUCUAAAUUGAAAAAUAACAUAUUGUUUUUUUUUUACUUUUUAAUACUUAAUUGAAAUAAAAUACUAUAAAAACAAACAACCUAAUAUUUAAUACUAUUAAGCAUUAAGGUUCUAUUUAAAAUAAAGUAAAAAAACAAACACAACCUUAAUAAAACAAAAUGUUAAUAUGAAAUUUCAUGGAAGAAUGUUUGAACUAGUGCUGAGUGACUGAUUUGGUUUUUCUUUGUAAAUUUUUGGACAUUAAAACCUAUAUAUAUAUAUAUAUAUUUGAAUAAAUUUCUUUUUCGUUUAACGGACUUUAAUCAUCAAUUUUGUGAAAAAUCCUACUUUUUAAAAAAUAUUGAAUUAUGAUUAAAUAUUAGAUUGACUAGCUCCAUAUCCUAAACUUUAAAGACUGAAAUCUUUGACCCUGAGAUCACGGGAGGUUCCGGUUGCCCCGCACCCGGGUCCUGAGUCAUGACAAUAAUUAACAUCUUUAUACACUCUACUGUAGUCUGAUCAGAUACAUUUGGAAUAUGUGUAAGUAACACGGACCACUUACCUCCACGUUAUCCCCAAUUUUGAGUUAGUUGGAUCAGAUGGGUGAGUUUCCUUUUAGCUUAUAUACAUAUGGCAUUCUUUUGGUCAUCUUAUUCUUUUAGCUUAUAUACACUUAUCAUGAGCUCCUGACAUUACUCAAAGCAUUAGAAUUGUUUUAUCAUUUUGAUGUUAUUAUCUAUUUUAAUUCAUUAUAUUUAUCAAUUAAUCUAGGGUCGGGAGUCAGAUAAGGUGAGAGGAGGAAGAAUUAAGAGCUCCAGAAUAAAAACAUAAGCAUUCAAGAUGACCUACAUGCAAGAGCUAGCACACUUGCUGGCCACUAGGAUGAUAUAUCAAGUACAGUGAGCUAGCUAUAAUAUCAUGGCGACUUCAAUGCACAAGGCAUUCUAGUUAUGUGCAUAUAUAGAUAGAAAAGAUAGGUAGCCACAACAAUCCCAAAUUGAAGGAAGAAAAGACGGACUCAUGAAGAGUCGAUCUUAAUUUUCUUCGAUAAAUGGAAUGGCAGAAAGAGGAAUGGCCUUCUUCAAGGUAGCUCCGCAUUUUUCUUGCAUGUCAAUGGUCAGUGGAGUGAUUCCUUCAGGAAGCUUCCAGUUGAAGGAGUGGAUAAUGGAAGCUAACACUAGUUGAACCAUUCUGAUGGCAAGAGGUAUGCCUGGGCAGAUUCGCCUACCUGCUCCAAAUGGUAUAUAUUCAUAAUCUUGGCCUCUAUAAUCUAUCUUAGAGCCCAAAAAUCUUUCGGGAAGGAAGGAUGAAGGAUCCUCCCAAUAACUUGGAUCUCUUGCAAUAGCCCACAUAUUGACGAUGACAUGACUGUUACUGGGUAUGGUGAAACCGCAUAAUUCCACAUCAUUCUUUGCUUUAAAAGGUAACAGAAGAGGCCCAGCCGGAUGGAGUCUAAGUGUCUCUUUCACAACAGCUUGAAAAUAUGGAAGUCGAUCCAUAUCUGAUUCUCUAACCAUUUGACCUGCCCCGAUUACUUCGCUAAGUUCUUGCCGAACCUUUUGCAUCAGCCG
rnacentral:lncRNA from 1 species